CUUAGGAAUGUGAGUUUCGGGAGGCUACAAAAAUCAUCAGGGAGCUUUUGAAUGGCACGGCACUCUGACAUGUCCAGGUGUUGUAAACGUAUCAGCUCACAGAUUGACGCGGGCAACUCUUGGAGUUUAUAACAUCCAAAUAAGUUGAGGAAAGAAAGUUUAGAGAGUUUCCCCAAUGAUACAGGUAGCUUACUGAGGCUGCUAUUACCAGAUAGGUCCAAAUAGCAAAGUUUCUGCAGGCUACAGAUUUUGUCAGGCAAGGUUUCAAGUGAGCAUUUUGACAGAAUUAGAGUUUGCAUGUAUUGAAGUGUGUGGAAAGACUUUGGAAGGGAUGCAAUUGGCAAGGCAGUAGCAUCAAGGUACCUAAGUAGCUUUGAUUGAUGAAUGGAAGAUGGCAGCACUAUGUUGCUUGGAGUGGAUUGACCUUCAACUGAACAUCCACCAUGGUCCAAGUUGCUUGGAAUAGAUUGCCCUCUAACUGAGUGCCCAUUUAAGUCCAAGACACGCAAAUGCUUGGAUCGAGAAAAUGCCAUUCGGGGAAGCUGUUGUUUUCUUGAAUCCCUAAAAUGGAGGGAUCUAACUUUAGCUGGCAGAUCUCUGAAAACCUUUGAUUGAUUCUGGUAGUUGAUCAGUUGUGCGUGUCGGCAAUAACGAGAUUUUCUCCAAGUACUUGGUUCAGGUUCAUUAGCAUCCAGAACAGCAAAUUCACUGGCAGUAAUUGUUGAAGCAAGAUCAUGAACCAAAUCAUGUGUGGUGAGCUCCUGAGGAGCUGUUGCAUGAGCUGGACUUGGACUAACCUGAAGAAACAACUACUAUUAAAACAGGAUUGCAAGAUAAAAUGCAGAAUCCAAUGAACAUAUUUGGCAUAUGUACCAAUUUAUUAAUCGUAUACGGCUAACCAUUUUUAUUGUUUGUCUUACAUUUAUACUAAUUUUUUCCAUGGGGACUUAUCACUAUUAUUAAGAUGGCAACCGUGGUAUCAUUAGCACAUAUGCCAAUUUCAACAGCGCUAUAAAAAUAUAAAAUAUGAUUACCAUUUAAUGAUAAGUCCCUUGGCAUGGACAAGAACUUUUGCCCCCCGGGCUAAUGGGAGCCUUUUUAUUAAAAUAACAAAAUUCAUAUUUAAAGGUUUUGAUUUUUUUCGUUGUAAGUGUAGAUGUAUUCUAGAUGCCCAUACAUUUUUGUCAAAAGAUACAUUGAUUUUUGCUCUGUGCAAAAAUCACAAAUUUGUAGAUCUAGACUAGUAAAGUGUUGAUCUAUUUGAAAUCUACAUAUUUGUGAAUCUUGAACAGAUCACGAAUUAAAGUAUUUCUUGACGAAAAUUUAUACGUAUGUUGAAUUCCUCUAUAUUUACACUGGGGAAAAAUUCAGAAGUUUUUGAAACUCAGAACUAUGGUUUCAUUUUUUCCAAAAGAAAGGGUUGAAAGGAGUCCAAGCUCCAAAUAUCAUUUUCACCUUGGUACAGCCGGGUAAGUAAAAGAAAAUAGUUCUGUCUACUCUAAUGAAUAUAAUAUGCACAAAUAAUUGAUUAGUACCAUCUCUGUAUAUCUUAAUGUUUAUUUAUUAUGUGAAUAAUACUAGCUAAUAAAUGCUUCUUGAUUUUUUCCAAAUUCGAGUAAAUCUCAAGUAAAAUUAUUUAAAUAUUACCAACUGAAAAAUAGAAUUAAAAAAAUUUAAAUUUAAAUUUGUCUAUAAAAUAUUUAAUCACAUAUCUGAAAUAAAAAAUUAUAACAUAUGAAAAGCUAAACUGAAAAUGUUUAAAAUUUAUGCAAACAGCAUAAUGGAAAUAACCGGCACGUAUGUCUGAAUGUAAGUACAAGUUGAGUUCUACAUACCGAGGACGACCGUGAAAUUUGUAGGAAUGACAUCCCUAGAAGGUACUUGAUACACCUUUCACCGUCAUCCUUUGCAUGAAUACAACCAAGAGCGAUCCAUUGCUGGAUUAGGCGAUUGGCAUCAACAACGAAGCCCUUUGGGAAGGCUGCUAAAUAUGUAAAACACAUUUUGAAUUCGACCUUCAUGUAGUAAUAGCUGAGCAUGAGGCGUUCUAGUGUGUCCUUUUGGUCUCGCGAGCCCAAAUCAAUCUCUGUGUCUCUUAUAUCUUCCCAUGCCUUGAAUGUCCUUGGAUCCGACAACACUCUUCCGAGAGAAUUUGCUAUGAGUGGUAUUCCUCCACACUUUGCUGCAAUUUUCCUUCCAAUUUCUUCCAAGCCACUUUGAUCAUCGUCAGGCCGGAAUAUUAUUUGCUUCAUUACUUGCCAGCAGUCAUCACGUGAUAAAAUACCCAGCUUGAUUUGCUCAGACUCUGGCACGGGGCGGACUAUCCCCUGGUUUGCAAGAACACCGGUGCUCAUUUUUGCCACUACGUUUUGAUUACGCGUAGUAACUAUAAUCUUGCUACCCUUGCAUCCAUAUUGUAACAUCCGCUUCAACUCUUCUAGUUUUUUUCCAUCUUCUUCCCAGAGAUCAUCCAGAACAAUUAAGUAUCUUGUGGUAGCAAGUUCAGUUUUUAAUUUAUCAUGUAGAAACUGCAAAGUGCAAUUGUCAACAUUGAUACAGCUAUUUAUGCUUUUGAUGAUGGAACUCGCAAUUUUGCGCAAAUCAAACUGCUCAGAGACGUGAACCCAGGCUUGGAAAUUGAAGAUGUUGACCCUCCCAUCUGCUAAAACUGAUUCUGCCAUUGUUGACUUCCCUAGACCACCAAGCCCAACAAUUGGAAUGACAGAGAUAUUCUCACUAGCUUCACCUUUCAGUAGCAGGUUGACUAUUUUUUGUUUCUCCGCAUCCCUCCCCACCAUUCCAGUUUUAGUGCCGUGAUCACCGAUGGCUGCAAAAGUUUCUUCGCUUCGGUUCCCUUCUGCCCGUGCUUCACGACGCACAAGAUUGAGCGUCGGGCUACCGGCCUCGAUUUCAGUUUUGCUUAUUUUCCCUUUCACACUCUUCAUAUGGUGGGCGAUGGUGAUUCGUUGGAGGAGUUGAUUGUUCCGGGAAAAGAAUAACUUGAGCUGUAAAAAAAUAAAGACAACAAUCAGUUGUCAUUGUCUUUUCAUUUCAAGUUUCACAGUCACAUGUUGGUGAACUAGACUUCAGAGUUUACGAAUCAUGAGAAUUAUUUCAGAGUUCAAAAUCUUCUGAAAACACCGCAGAUCUUCAGAAAAUUGCCUCAAUCCUUGUUUGAAGUUAUUUUGACACAGUCAACUUUUGAGAUUGAACAUUUGCAAUAUGAAUCUUAAUAUAUUACUUUUGCACUCCUUCCCCAGAUUUUUCAAAACUUUUUUUGCCUUUCUUUCUAAAAAGUUUGAAGUGGCCAGCUAGAUGGAAAUGUUAACAAAGAAAAUGAUAGAAGUUAAGUUAUGAGAAUUUCAAAAUUGUAAGAGAAGAUGUAAUUAAGACAUUGAUACAACAUCUGAAAUGACAUUUUACAAGAACGUAGUUUGAGUCGCAAGUGUGAGUGUGUGACUGUGCGAGUACCUUUGAUUGGGUCUUGUUGAUGAGCUCGUUGGCGUCCAGCUCGUCCAAGACGUCCUCGACGUCAUAGACCACAUCCUUGAAUUUCAUGAGCCACCGUCCAACAGCUGCUCCAUCUCUUUCUCCUCGCCGCAGCCUGUCGUCGGCGUCAUGCAUCACUGCCUCAAGAUCUUUCAUCUUCUCCUCAAUGCCUUCCACGUCGUCACGGAACCCCCACAGCAGAGCGAUCUCAUCUUUGACAAGUUCGCCGAGCUUGGUAGCGAGUUGUUCCCCCACGGCACUCACAAUCAUCCCCCCCAACCUCCGCCAUGGCUUCGCUCUAGAUCUCUCCGCCACGAGAAAGCAGCGUUUGUGAAACAGGGGGGGAGGUAGGUAAGCCCAGCGGCUUCUGCUUCUCGCCUUCUCAGUCUCUGCGUAUAUGAGGGGCCGGGUCUUUCUUUUUACUCUAUCUUUCUUCAGGUCAGAGGUCUUUCUCCCGUACAGUCUUGUUUUUUACUCCGUAUUUCCAAAGAACAGACAGCAAUGAGACCGGACAUAGGACCCCAUGACCUGGCCAUUUUAUUAAGGCCAGAAGGUGUACUAGCUAGUAUCUUUACGACAACGUGGUGCAGUGGUGCUACUAAAUGCAACAACUAUGUCUCAUCUGUCACGCUGGCUAUUAAAUACCCACCCUCUCAUCUCAUGUGUCAUGACGUACUAGCACGACAAGGGUUUAGGGUUAGGGUAAUGGAUCUUUACCAUAACAAAAUUGGUCAAAACCAUGGACGGAGCCAAAAGAGAAGUUAAGAAGGGGCUCUUAGACUUUUUAAGAAGCUGUAGCUUAAUUUAGAGGGGGCAUUAAUAGUGAAAAUCUAGCAUUUGUACUGGUGUAUCAAAAUUGAGUGGGGGCCAAAAUUGAGUGGGGGCCAAUGCCCCCACUGCUCAUACAUAAGCAUAAUAACAAAAUUUUACAGAGACGGAGUGGAAACAUCCCAUGUGCUAGAGACAAGCCUGGCAUUUGCGGAGCCACGCCUGGUCCACAGCUCGACCACGAGUGCCACGCAUUUCGCCGAACAGGUGCCGUGCGCAUCUUCCGGCUUGACCUGCGCAAAAACAUCAUUCGUCUUAGAAAAAGAAGGACUGGCACAGAAACUAAAACAGGAAGCUCCGGAAAAGGAUACCCAGAUUUACGUAUCAAGAGGAGAAGAAGCGCCGAGGUAAAAGCCCGACCACCAUGGCUGCGUGCCAAAGCAGAGGGCUCCGCCUUGAAGCCGUCCAAACGGAGUGCACGAGGACGCGGACGCGGACGCGCUGGCACGCACACCGCGCCGCUUCGGCGUCCACCCUCGUCUGGGCGGGCAGGAGCAGGAUGGAUGGGCAGGCUUCCGGAACACUAGAGGGCGGGUGCGUCGACGGGAAGGCGAAGGAGGCGCGAUCUCUGGUUUGCCAAUUUUCUUCACCCAAGAGAUAAAAGCAGAGGAGACAAAAGAAAAACACCCAAGCGAGUGUGUGGACCGUUGAGACUCUGUAGAAAUUGAGUCGAGCCCUGGUCUCCCUACGGGCUAAACUGGGCCAAGCACAGUAGCACACUAGCAAAAAGCCAGUUCUGGCCCACGCUCUCUCGUAGCAGGCGGCAGGGCGAUGCGGGCGGGUGGGCUCAGAUGAGGCCGCGAGAGCGAGACAGAGGUCCAUCCAGGUCCAUUCAGAAUGCCAUUGCGAAGCGAGGAUCGCUUUCUCCAACCCCAUCCGAGUCGAGCCAGCGAGGCUAAGCCCAUCAAAAUCGGGCCUGCUAGACAGAAACACAACAAUUGUUCGUCUAACCAAAAAAGAACCUCAACAAUUUUUUCGAAACAGAAACACAACAAUGGGCCAUAGAUCGUCCAGUUGCUCCAGCACCCCACGAUUUUUUUCUUUCCUGCAACAUUCCGGCGAGCAAAAUUUGAAGGAUAGAUUACCGGGUUAGAUCCUCUCCCCUGCUCUUGCCGCCGUCUCUUUUUCGGUUUUUUUUCCUUUUUUUGCGGAUAACUCUUACCGCCGUCUCGUGUGGUCAUCCUACGUGUGUUGUUGGUUUUCACCUCAGGGUUUACAAGAGCAAGUUUUACCCGAGGUUUAUCGCAGUGCAGCGCAAGCCCCGGUGGCUGGUGGGCGUGCCGACGAAUGACAUGUUCCCCUCUGCCCACCUGCUUUGCUUUUGCCUUCGCUUCCCCACACACCCCGCGCGACCAAACUACAAAACAAAACUCAUCCAGCAAUCCAAUGCCCUCCCUCUCCCACUCAUAUUCUCAUAAUCGUCGAGCAGAGCAAUCCUCUAGUAGCUCUGAUCGCCACCCGAGCAAAGCUCAAGCUCAAACGCGCGCAGGGACACAGCCUAAUUUAACAAUGGCGAGAAGAACCCACAUGCUCUUCCUCCUCGCCGCCCUCACCCUCCUCUACACGGCACGCUCCGCCGCCGCCGCGGGCGCGGGCGCGCUCCGGACGUCGGCCAUCUCCGCGUCCCCGUCCCCGUCCCCGUCCCCGUCGUACCAGCAGCUGCCACGGCACGGCCACAGCAGCGCGCUCCCGCCGGCGCUUUCGCCGGACACGAUGCCGCUGCUCCCGUCCCCGGGGCCCGACGACGACGGCACCGCGGCGCUGGCGCCGUCCACCAUCCCGUCCAGCCCGAGCCCGCCCAACCCGGACGCGGCCCUCGACGACCCGGACUUCGCCCUCCUCGCGCCCUUCUCCGCCGCGCCCGUCGCGCAGUCGCCCGCCCCGCCGGUCCCACGCGCGCCCGCGGCGGUGCUCGUCGUCACCGCCGUGGGGCUCCUGGCAUCCUCCGCCAUGUGGUCGGCAUAGACGGUGGGCCGCGGACGUGGCUGAGCCUGACAGACGGACAGCAGCUGCAGCAGCAGCAAUCUGUCAAAGGCUCCUUCAGAAGUUCAGACCGCGCAGAGGGAAAGGUGGUCACUGGGUCUCCUUGGUCGGUCGGUUUGGGAUCGGGAAGGCUGGAUUAGUAUUUGCUCCAGUGUUAUUUUUAGUGUCUUAGUUCUCUCUUGUAAAUUUUGUUUAUCCUUCGUGUUCAUUCAUUGUUUUAUGAGGUGCUAGUGCUACCACCAUUCUAUAGAGGGUUUUUUCUGUGUUAUGUUGGGACCCUACAUUGUUUGGGUCUCUCAUAUUUUUGUAAUCAAACUGGAGGGAUUAUUUAUUUAUUUAUUUUUAUUAGUAGUGUAAUGGAUUGCACUGUCAUUGCUUAAUUGUCAGAGGUUAACAUUUUAAGGAAAUGUUGUGUGCUUAUUUUGUUUCCUACUCUUGCUGUUGAUUCUUCAGCUUGAAGACCACUGGGUGCAUGAGACCCCUGCUUACUUACAAGGCAAUCAUGCUUCUUGUGAUGAUGGUUUGAUUUGGUGCUCCAGUUAAUUAAUUAUGAGCACCUGAUUAAAUCAUUGGCAGGACAUAUAUAUAGUACAUUCCAUCCAUCCCACACACUGUUGGUAGCACAUGUCAGUAGGUUGCUUUUCUGCCUUCUCUUCUCCUGAAAAGGCCUCUCGAUCAAUUCUUCUUUCUAUCAAUGACUUUAUGCAUGCAUCAAAUAUUUCUGAAACCCAAAAGUGAACACCAUAGUUCACCAGAAAGUGCAGCAUGCAACUAGAACUCCACAACUGAAUUUUCUACCCCCACAUUCCGGCUUCUUUUAGAAUGAGCUUCAUCAUCGCCUCAUGAUUAUGAACGUAAAGCCUCUGCCAUUGCCACUUUGCCAAGAGAUCAACUUUCAAGUCAUGUUCGAAGUUCGAACUGCAGGCUAGCAUGUGAUAGUUUAAUCAUUGUAACAGAAGCUCACGUGUCCUCUGAAGAACCAAACGGUGCAUCGAUCUGCCAAGAACACAUUGACUGUUGUUCCUGCAGACCAUUAGGUGAAAGUUUAAAGUAAAAAAGUUUAAAUUAACCAGCAGUAUCAAGUCCAGCUAGAGCUGCAUGCCCACUGUUAAUUGAUGUCUUGUACGUAUAAUGCGCGGUUACGACAAACGACAAAGAACAGGAGCAGGUUAAAUUACCUUUUCGCUACUCUGACGACAUCAAGUAAAAGCAGGUUAAUUUACUAGCACUACUCUGACGACUGACGGCAGCAAGCAAGCAAGUUCACGUGUUAGUUAGAAGCUAAGCUAAGAUAUGGCCAAGCUCUCAUUUGGCAUCUAAUGAUGAUGGGAGAAAGACGAUCGAGACGAGAUGGGAUCCGUGGGGGAUCUUGACCAUAUGUGCCUUUGCUGCCUGCCAAGCCUCUUCACGUGCAGUGUGCCAGUGUCCGUUUGCAGUGUUCAGCUAAUCACUCACUCACUCCAGUUACUACCACUAGCAGCCAAUGGUAAAAUUGUGGAGACUGACUGCAGUCAAGUGAAGAUGAUGCUGGAACAGAAGGGUGAUGAUCGGUCGAGGUACCGGAGUCUGGUUUUGAAGUCAGAGACUCCUGUGUCUUCACGAAGGAAAAUCGUGAUUGUUAAAGUUGCUAGAUCACAAAAUAGGGGUAGUCAUGACUUAGCCGCUCAUGCUAGGUCAGGCCAACGAACUGGUUUUUGGCUUCGAUGCAGUCCCUUGCAUCAUGAUGUAAUCCCUGUUUAAUUAAUAUAUCUCCUUUCUUCGAAAAAAAAAUUAACUAGGUGGUGGUUAAAGGUUAAAACAGAGUUUUCUUUUUUGACCGUGUGUACGUCAUCACGGAUGCAUUCAGGCACCAGCAGUGAGUGAGAUUGGAUAUACUGGUGGAAGAGAAUCUGAGGUACUCUAGUAGCUGGAGUAGACAGUAGGAGUGUGUUUCUUUGCGUUUGUGUUUGUGGUGAGAAGAUUCUUGCGGUUUGGACGUCGUGUAGACUAGCUUAGCUGGCUAGGCAGUCACGUGCUGCUGGUCGAUCUGCUUGCUCUGCUAAGGAGGAUGAUAUGAGAGUGAGGUACAUGGCGGAGAACUGCUUGCAUAAUUGCCAGCAGAAGUAGAUUAAUCCUUGAUGUUUGGUUUGUUGCUCCGUGUCUCGAAGAUUCGUACUAGGCGAUGGGGGGCACGGGUCAGGUGGUUAUAUAAGCUCUGCAUCAUUUGAGUGGCCGUCAUGAGAUGGUAAUGACGAUGGUCUUAAUUAAUCAAAGUUCGUGUAUUUAUUUAAGCAAUGGCUCAUCUAUUGCAACACAGAACAUCCACAGUACCAUGUGAACAAUCAAGGAAGCAAUUCACUACUGUAGUUCAUUUUGUUCACUUUAACCAUGUCAUUAAUUAAAAAAUGUCUCUUUCCUUCUUCUAUUUUAUAUUCAACGCUAGUGUGCCUGUCGAGCCUUAAGGACGUACAAAUUUUUUGGUACUAGCUAGCUAGAAAUUUGAUCUCAAAUUAAUCUCGAUUGGGUCUACAUGAAUAUCCAAUUGAUGCGCACGUCAGUUUUCUUUUCUAAGUAUGAGCACCGGCCUUUAUAUAUAGAGAGGACAUACCCUCCCUCCCCACCUAGCUGGUCACCUAGAUAAAUACAUGCCUUAUUGUUAAUCUAGCUAGCAAAACCCUCGAAAGUCAAAAGUCAGAAGAAUGGUGUAAAAACACCUAUCGGAGAAAGAGUGAGAUAAUGACAACCAUGUGGACAUGGACGCAUGAUAGGAGUGAGAGGCAUCUGAAAACAAAGCGGUUGCUUUUCCAAACUUUUGUGUACAUGGUUGACUAUGCCAGGUCUCUCAAUAGUUUUGUGCUCACAUUGCAUCAUCUGAUACACAUGUGCAAACUGCUGAAGAUGAAUGGGCAGCGUCCGCUCAGAAAGCCAUCGACAUUGACAAGGUAGGCUGGUAGAUUUUCUUAGAAUUGAUAGCGUAAGGUGCACGCAGUAUAUACGUAUUUGCUCUUAUUCGAUUUUGCCAAAACUCACCGACUUCUAUCCAUUCUCUUUUCCUCGAGUGCACCCUUCAUUCACCUGGUGUUUUGAUAGUAUGGUCGGUGGACAUAAUUAUUCCCUCGAGCAUUAAUUAGCCGUACGUUUGACCCACAAUAUAGUCUAGUGUUAAUAACCAACCAGCUUAGAAAUUUGAUGUCAUGUUUUGGAAUUCUAAUCACUUUGUGUUGUCUCUCUCCCUCUAUAUCUAUUGAUCAGUUGAUUAUUUUCAAGUAUGAACAAGCUCCUUGACGCGAAAAUAAAAUAAUCUCUCGACAAUCUAAGGACCCCCUAUUAUAAGUGGAGUUAUUUGAUGGUACAUUAUAAUCGAUAUUAGCCACAUACUCCAUCCGUUCUAAAAUGUAGUGCGUAUAAGUUUUUGUCAAAUCUUUAAAGUUUGACCAAACUUAUAGUGCAAUAUAUCAACAUCAACGAUGUCAAACAAAGAUAAUUGUACCCAUUGUGAAAAAUAUCUUCAUAAUAUCUUGGUUAAAAUUUUAUAUAUUGAUAUUUUUUGCUAUAUGCUUGAUCAAACUUUAGAAAUUUUGCCAGUCAAAAAAAAUUAUACACCAUAUAUUUUGGAAGGAAGUGAGCAUUACUCAGUACUCCCUCUAUUACAAAAUACACCUCAUAUAGAUUUGUGCACUUGGAUCAACACAGCUCUCGUUUUGUUGUGCCUGACCACUCAUAUUGGGUUAAUAAUAAAUGAAUGUGAGUAGUUAUUGUCCGGGUGCGGGUACCAAGAGAAAAAUGAGAUAUAUUGUGAAACAAAUGAAAAAAAACUAUACACGUUGUAUCGUGGAAUGGAGGGAGUAUUUCUUGACAUUUCGCAAAAGGAAAAUACUGAAGUUACGAGACGCCCAAGACCACCCAAGGCCCAAGGUACGAGACACAGCAGAGGGCGAGCUGAUGAGUCUCCCGAAGCUGGUCACCAGUGUUGGUGUGUAACAAAUGGGCUCUGAAGAAACCAUUCGCCCAUACUCCUCCAGAAAUUCAAGUUUCGCUUCCCCCUGUCCCUUACCAAACGAUUGGAGUAGUAAAUUGUACAGCCAGUACUACCAUAGAAUAGCUCUAUAAAGCUUGCCCCUAUCUCCAAUCGUUGCAUGCAGGGACUAGGCUUCUUCUCGAUCUACUCAUUGAGAUUUGAGGCAUCCAGCCAUCUCAGCUCUCUUAAAUUACCAGGAUAUCACCAUCCAAACCAACGCAAAUGGAGAUCACGAUCGAGUCACGAGAGAUAGAACAAUAACAAAUGACCAAAGUAGGAUUAAGUAAUUAAUUAGACGGAGUUGGAUUGCCUACUAAUGCACUAUGCUGGAAAUGGAAGGGAUCUGGAAGACCGGAAAUACCGGCCUCUCGCCGCCAUCUAUGUCGAUGUUACUCUAGGCACUGCAGUGCUCCAUUCAGUGGACGAUGGAAUCUUCUUCGCCUCUGUUUGAUGAGGAAGACGUACACGGUGGUCGGUGGAAGAUCCAACAGAGAAGACAAGCUAGGGGCAGAGGGCAGAGGAUACAGACCAUCAGUACUUUGAUGCUGUCCCUUGGCGUGUUUCUCAACUUGUCACUUUCCCGUAUCAUAAAAAAGACAAGAUACCAAGGAAGCAAUUUACUUAGAUCAUUUUGUUCACUUUACCCAGAUCAUUAAAAAUAUAUCUCAACUUGCUUUUUCUGGAUGCAAUGCUGUUGAAUAUUUGAAAUGAUCAAAAGCACAUGAGUGCUAAGCCUCAGGGUGUGCAUAACCGAACCGGAGCCAAAAACCGGAUCCAAAAAGACGAACCUCGGUUAUCAAAAUAGCUAACCAUAUGCCUUUGGAUUAAUCCGGUUUAGAACCGAAAAACAAAUCGGUUAAGCUGAAGAAAAAAAAAACACUUUUGAGAUCUUUUUGGUACUUGCUAGAAAUUUGAUGUCAAAUUCCCAUUUGAUCUCCGUGGAUAUCUGAUAAGCACAUCAAAUUUUUUUCCUUGUGUGCAAGCAUAAUUAGCACCGGCCUUUAUAAGUAAACCCUGUCCCUCCUGACCUAGAUAAAUACACAUCGACUCCUGCCAGUCCUCCACUGACUCCACUCUCUUUUUUUAGGGGAGCAAAUUAUAUUCUCAUGACCAGAGUUGUACCCCCAAAAGAAACAAGAAUGGUGUUGAAACACCCAUAGGAGAAAGAGAGAGAUAGUGAUAACCAUGAUGAACAGGAGCGAGAGGCAUCUGAAAACAAAGCGGCUGAAGUUCGAGACAUUUCUGCAGAGAACAGAGGACAAACAGCUUCUCAUUAAUUUUGUGCUCAGAUUUCAUCGCUUGAUCAACCUGUAAAAGUAGAUCACCUUUGUGUGGUAGAUUGCAGAAAAGAGUGGGUUGCGCCCAUAUAGAUGAGAACAAAACUUGGAUGAGUAGACCGUUGGAGUUUCUUAGAAUCGACAGCGUAAGCUACUUGGUAUUUGUCAUCAAUCGAUUUCACCCAAACUCACCGCCUUCUAUCAGUUCUCUUCUCUCGCGUCCAUCUUUCAUUCACCUGUAGUUUUUGAUAGUGCGGUCGGCAUCUGGAAAAUACACGUCUCUUGCACGGUUGAUGUCCGUGUUGCUAUGGGCAACGCCGUGAGCCCGUGACCCAUUCACAGCAUGAGGUUGUUCUUUUGGCUUGCGUCUCGGGCCUCUUCUCUGGUUUGAUGCGGAAGACGUACACAUGCUAGCAGUACUUUGAUGCAAUGUUGCUUGGCGCGUUUCUCGUUCAUACUGAUCAACUGCAGCUUUUAGUUUUUUAGGAAUCCUCAUGACAAAAAUUCGUUGGAAAAAAAGUCCAUGCGCAAAAGUACGAGUACAAGGAAUUAAUGCACAAAACCAAAUAGGAAAGAAAUUUGAAAACAUAUCGCCAACCACAACGUGAGUGCUUCGAGUGCAAAAGUCAAAGCGAGUAGUGUUGAUUUGUGUCCCAAUUUGUUCACUUUACCCAUAUCAUUAAAAAAGAUAUCAAGGAAGCAAUUUACUACUAGAUCAUUUUGUUCAGUUACAAACGCUUUUGAACAUUUGAACUGAACGCACAUGGGUGUUGAGCUGAGCCUUGAAGUCUUUUUGGUACUAGCUAGAAAUUCGAUGUCAAAUCCCCAUAUUAUCUUCACGGUUUUUUUUUCGGGUAAUAAUAUUCAUGGAUAUCGGAUGCGCACAUGACAUUUUGUUUUCCUCGUGUGCAAGCAUGAGCACCGGCCUUUAUAUAAAGGACACACUCUUCCUUCCAACCUAGGUAAAUACACAUAGUAUUGUUACAUCUAGCAAUGUAGCUCUUGACUGGAGGUUUACCCUCAAAAGUAACAAGAAUUGUGUCAAAAUAUGGAUCGGAGAAAGAGAGAGAUGGAGAAAUGAUAGGAACGAGAGGCAUCUGAAAACAAAGAGUCCGCAUUUCCAUACCUUCACGCAAUAGAUCAGGAGCACAUAUUUUCUCAGUAGUGUCAUGCUCACAUUGCAUCCCUUGACCAACACGUACAAGCAAAAGCAAAAGGAGAGGAGGGAGAAGUGGGUAUGGCUCCUCAUAGUCAAGCUGUCGAAGCUGUCAUGCAUGCGGCAGUGUGAGAUCGGAGAUCUGCUCUGGCCGGCAGGCCGGAUGCUACAACAAUGUAUGCAAGCUCCCUAUUUGUGGAUUGAGACUCUAUACAAGGUCAGGAAAAGACGAAACCGUUUUGAUCCUAUGGCGGAUGGAUCUGAAUGGCUCAGCACACAAACAGUUUGUGGACACACACGGACUAGAAUUGCUUAGCUUCUUGGUGAAUUGCUUGAUGCAUUCAAUUUAGUAUAGCAUUUGUGAACGGGUUGACUUAGGUCAAGCGUUCAAAACUCAGCCAACAAAUUAUGGUAAAAAUAUUUGCAGCUCUCAUUAAUCCUACUCUCAAGGCUUGGAGGAGUUUAAAGUGUUUUUUGUUUGCGGUAAGGAGGAGUUUAAAGUGUUAAAAAUGUAUUGUCCGCAUUUCUCCAAUAUUUGAACUUUUGGUGCAUGCAACUCAACAAUAUGAGGCUAGAUGAUAUGCAGCGGUCCUUUUUUUUUUUACAACAGGAGGCCUUGCGGUUGGCCAGCUCUUGAGGUCUGUGGCUUGCUUUGUGGGUUAUCUUGAAGUUGAUCCUGCUAUCAUUUCCUAAUUACUUGUAGCUAACACUGGUCCCUUUUUAAUCUCUGUUGUACCGUAUGGUAGUUAAGCACUUUGCAUCCAUUCAAUCAUUUGUCUAGCUUCACCGGUAUCACUAGAAAAUCAAAAUAUUGAUCCUCUGCUGACACAGAUCAGUUUGAAUUGAAGCACAUGAAUGAUGAGACUUAAUUCCUUUAUUUCAAAACCGGUGAGAAGAUAUUAUCUUGAUGUGUGGUGGAUGGAUGUAGCUAAUGCACCCACCAGUCUUCCUUGGUUAUACAUGCAUCCACACCAAAUGCGUAUAGUCUGCUCACGACACUUUCUGCUUGUCUUAGUUCUCGCUACACUAGUUGCACUUGCACCCACUAAAUUCUAGUUAAAGAGGGCAAUCCAAAUUAUGAUCAGGGAGUUGGACACGUGCGUGCAUUGCUGCUUGAAAUGGAAGGCAUCAGAGAGAGCACAUCACCGUCUACUUGGGGACAAAUUGCGGUGACAAGUGAGCCCUGUUGUGGAGAUAUUAGGAUUGGGGGCAGAUGGAUACAUGUGAGGGAUGAAAAUAUUGGCAACUUCACAACUUUGAUUCAGAUAUCAGAACAAUCUGUUUCCUGUACUUAUGGUAAAAAUACUUGCUGCCAUAUAGGAUAGACUUUUGCUAGCAUUGCUGCUGAAAAAACUUUUGCUCGGCUACGUACAUGUCUCGGAGAAUCCGGUCCUAACUUCAGAAGAUUUGUUUCUAUUACAUGGAGAUGCAUUGGCUUUGCCAGGAGACGAUGAUUGUCUUAAACAAGAUGACCAGACUACGUACCUCAGUCCCCAACCACCGCCUAAGGAUCCCCAGUUUUCGUGAGGUUCAUGCAUGUACGUAUCAAAUCUGAAUGACAAUUCUUUCUACACGCAUAAGGACCCUACUAUAGUGUCAUGUAAACAUCCUACGGUCCGAUCAUUUCGUUCACUAAUCAGGCUCCAUGUCUUGAUGUACUUCAAUGGUUUGCAAAAGGGAAAAAAAAUGAAGGUUCCAUGGUUGAAAGUUGCAACUUACCAAUGAGUUUAAAUAGGAGCUCCAUGGCCUCACCGGAUCCUUGCCACUCCAUCUAUCUAUUGUUUGAUGAAACCCAUAUAUUCAAGUAAUUUAUUGUACACAUUUUCAAUAUAGGAGCUCGAUAUAUGAAAAUUGAAAUGCUGACAAUGUCCAUAGAUUUGAGAAAGCCAUGAUAAAAUAAUGGUUCGAAGCUUUUAAAAUGCGAUAAAUGUUUUGCAGUACUACUUUACUCUCUUCCCCUUCCCUUUAGUAAAAUGUAAAACUAGUACCCUACCGUAAAAUAGCUCUAUAUAAAGCAUGCUCCUGCCUCCAAUGGUCGCACACAGCGAGUCUUCUUCUCUCCAUUUACUCCCUAUAUCCAGGCACCCAGCCAUCUCAGCUCUUAAAUCGUUAGAUUAUUACCGUGAUAUCAUCAUCCAAACCAACGCAAAUGGAGAUAAGCAGGAUCUAACCAAUCGACUACCCAUGCGGUGCGCCUAGGAAUAGAAGGAAUCUGGAAAAUACACAUCUCUCGCCACUGUUUAUGCCCAAGUUUCUCUGGCCGGCUCUGCCGUACCACAUUCACACGGUCGAAGGAACUAACAAAAGCAUGGCGUUGAUCUUCCGGUCUGCGUCUCCACCGUCGAGCGAGGUGGUGCAGCCUUCUUCGGUGGUUUGACGCGGAACACGUCCACGGUGGAAGAGCCGAUCCACUGAAAACAAGCCAACGGGAGAAGGCUAUCAGCAAUUUGAUGCAACGUCUCUUCCUGUGUUUCUCGUUCAUACCGAUUAUUUUUUGAAAAUUUUCGUGACGAAGAUUCGUUGGAAUUAAAAGAAAGUCCAUGCACAAGAGCACGAGUACAAGGAAUGUACAAAGAAAACAUGUCGUCAACUCUACGGCUUGGUCUAUUUCGCGUGCAAAGUAGUCAGAAGCCCGUUCUUUCCCCAUAACCGUGAUAUCCUGGGCGCAACGUUUUAUUCCGUUUAGUUUUUGUAUUUUCUGCUGCAGCCCACUUUCUCUCUUCUUUUUUUUUCCUGGACUUCGUCCUUCUGGCCCAACUCCUGCCCUACCAACUCCUCAGCCCAGCACUUUUUUUAUUUAGAACAACAGCCCAGCACUUUGGUUCGUCUUCCUCCUCUGUUCCGUUAGCACGCAAGCACUGCCAAUGGCCGGCGGCGGCUUGAAUCCCAUAAAAACCGAAGAACAUCUACAGUGCAAUAUGUACAAUCAAGGAAAGAAUUCACUAGCUCAUUUUGUUCAUUUUAACCAUAUCAUUAAAAUAUCUCUUCCCUUUUUUUUGUAGAUGCAACGCUAUUAAAUAUUUGAACUGAACGCCCGUGGCUGUCGAGCCUUAGGGACACACCUUUUGGUACUAGCUAGCAAGAAAUUUAAUCUCAAAUAUCGAUUGGGUCUACGUAGAUAUCUAAUGCGCACGUGUUUUUCUUCUUCUUGCGUGUGAGCAUGAGCGCUGGCCUUUAUAUGAGGGACAUACCCGCCCUCCCAACCUAGUCACCUAGAUAAAUACAUGUCGCGUUGUCAAAUCUAGUUAGCAGGGUAGUACCCUCUAAGGUAACAAGAAUGGUGUCGAAACACCUAUCAAUCCGAGAAAGAGAGAGGAAACGAUAUAAUGAGAAAACCAUGAGGAGUUCAUUUUAAAAAAAACAUGAGGAGCUGGACGCAUGAUAGUGAGAGGCAUCAAGUAUUUUUAGAGCAAGUCCAGCAGUCCCUAUCACCUCCCCUGUAGUAUUUUUAGGGACAAAAGGCAAAAAAGCUUUUUGGUAGUUCCUCUAUCUUCUCCCUGAAAAAUCGGCGUCCUCUAUCUUCUCCUCCUUCUCCCUAGAUUGGGGCCGUGGAGGCCUCCGUAUAAAUUUGUUUGUACUGUCAUAUGCUUAUAUAUGUGUCCUUUUUGUUUUUGUAGUUACAGAAAAUUCUUAAAAUAAAAAAUAGGGAAGAUCUUUUAGGGGUACCUUUGGAAUUGCGCAAUUUUUAGGGAAGAAUAUUUUUAAGAAUGCCCCUCAUUUUGAGAUACAGGAGAUAAAUUUAGGUGAACUGCUGAACUUGCUCUUACUUUUGGAUAGAAGACUGACAUGCAAAGCUUCUCGAUAGUUUUGUGCUCACAUUGCAUCACUUGAUAAACAUGUCCAAACAGUUGAAGAAGAGUGGGCAGCGUCCGCACAGACAAGCAUCAAGGAUGGCAAAGUAGACUAAUCGAGUUUCUUAGAAUUGAUAACGUAAUCUACGUACUAUUUGGUCUUGUUCGAUUUGCCCGGAUCCACCCUUCAUUCACCAUUAGUUUUGGGUUUCGAUCCCAGUUGGUAGUUUUUUUUUUCGGAAAUCCCUGUUGGUAGUUGGCAGAGAGACAAGAUCUGUAUGUGUCUGUAAUAAACAGGCCUCAUCAUCAUUAGUUUUGGGCCAAAAUCAUUCUCCGGAAAUAAUUACCAAAUGUGUAAAUUAACAGGCCAUGACACAUGCCCUAGAGAUCGAAUGGUAUUUAUACAACUACAUUCUCUUUUCCCGGUAGUUUUGUCUACCGUAAAAUAGCUCUCUAUAUAAAGCAGGCGCUGCCUCCUGGACUCCCUAGUCCUUACCUUUCAAUUAAUCGUUGCACGCAGCGAGUCUUCUUCUCAGUCGAUAUCUGCUAUCCUACACAGGCAGCCAGCCAUCUGAAGUGACAAGCAGGAUUAAGGCUGCGUUUUUUUCGGCUUUUAGGACCGGUUUUUUCUAAAAACUGUCCUCACCUAGCUUCUUGGAGAAGCCACAUCUCAGAGUUAGCUAGGUUUCCAAAUUAGUUUAGGCCAAACUGAUUUGGCAACCUAACUAAAUUUAGGUGGCGGUUUCUCUAAGAAACUGGGUAAGCGCAGCUUCUCGAAGAAGCCAGUACAGGAAGUCAAAAAGAACGACCCUUGAUUAGUGUGCGCUGUGAAUGGAAGGCAUCUCGGAAUGCAUGCAUGUGCACUGUUUAUGUCGAUGCUGCUCCAGACUCGUACAGGGGCUGCGGAUCCUUUGAGUGUUGUGGGGAAAGCGUGUGUGAUGGAUCAAAGCCACAGAAAGCAAGGGAAAGAAUCCAAGGACAAGGAAUACGCUCCAGGCGAUUUUAGGUUCCGCUGGCCCAAUGUUCUGUGCGCUGUAUGGCUCGGUACUGAUGAAGUUGAGGUCGUGAGAUCGAAUCACUCUAUCUGCAUUUUUCUGGCCGGUUGGACCGGAUCUAGCCCGACUGCAAGCAACUGAGCAAGUUUUCCAUGGACGUUUUUCUUUAAAGGGUUUUCCAUGGACUACUUGGAAGAAGCGAAGGAGGUCAGGUGCGAACUGAGGUGGUGGCACUUGCAUAUUUUGUGUUGUUAAAAAAUUCGUGUCAAUUUUGCUUUUGCUUACUUUGGUUUUUAAGGAAACUGAACCGAAAUUGAACCAUUAUUGUUGAAACCUAACCAAUAUAUUAGUAUGUAACAUUAUUAACCGAAAUACAAAAAGGAUAAAGCGAACUGAACUGAUAAACCGAAUGCACAUCUGUCGAUACCCAUACGUUGCUAUGGAUAAUACAAAUUGAACUACUCGCUACAGAUAAAUUAGACUAAAAAACAGAAAAAGAAAUAUAUUAUUAUUAGGAAUGUUUGCUAGCAAUUUUAUCUUCAGCUUUGGUGGCAACAACUGUUUUAUGAAUAGCACGAUGACUAUAAUCCUUAAAUCGAUACCUCUUGGCUUCGGUACCAUAAUAAAUUGCAUGCACAUAUAGUAAAUUCUAAGUCCAAACCGGUGAAGAAAGACAGACUAUAGUAUGUUUCAACAGAAUGAACUUGAGGUUCCAAAAUAGAGAGAAAGACAUAACAACCACGGAAUUGCAUGUAUGCAAUGCUGGUUGGAAUUUGAGGCAUCCGGAAAUAGAUUCUUGGUUCAAUAGAAACUAUUUGGGGUGAGAUCAAUGUGAAAUCGCCUCCAACACUUGUUGCCUCUUGUGGCACGCCAAGAAGAAGUUCACAAGCCACACCUGAUGGUCGAACUUCGCCGAGCUCUUUUUUCUGGAAAUGGAUGCCAGCCGCUUCUUCUUCGAUUCUGGCUGCAGAUCUCAUCAGGGCCGGGCUCUGGCGUUGUGCCAAGGCUUAACCUUGGUAUGCCUCCAACCGGGAGACCGGAUUCUAUUGCAGGAUGUAUACAUAUAUGCUCCCUAGAUUGUUGGAUUGAUCCACUGGAAAAGAAGAAAUUGUUAUGGUAUGGUCGAUGGUUCCGAAUGCCCAGGAAAACAUAUACGAUUUGUGGAUAAACCUAUCUGGGAUACAAUUCAUGUUGAAUAUGUUGCACAAAUUUCUCCAAUAUAUAGCUCGGGUGUCAAUUAAACAGGGCUUAGUGUUCAAAACUCACCAACCUCAGCUAAUAAAUUAUGGUACACUCCUAAGUCUUGGAUGAUUCUUGAAAGUGUUAAAACGUAUUGUCCAUACUUCUCCAACAUUUGAACUUCUGGUGCCUAUAAUACAAUAAGAUGAGGCUAGCUAGAGGAUAUGCAGCAGAACAUUUUUUUUUAAUAAUAGGAGGCCUUGCGUUUGUCUUGAUCUUACUUUACUUUUUCUUAAUUACUCGUAAUUAACAUUGGUUCCUUUUUAAUCUCUGUUGGACCGUAUGAUGUCAAGCACAGUGCCCCAUUGUGAACUGAGUUAGGCUUGGUUUCUUGUGGUGGAACCAGCCCGCCUAGGUUCAAGUCCUAGACUUGACAUGGGUGUUACAUUUACCUGAAUUAUUUCAAGAUUUAACCGGCGCUCUAUUAUUUCAGUGGUAUAGAUGUGAGUGUACGCGUGUUGUGACCGUCUACUUUUGUACUGUGUUAUCACUUGAAAAUCAAAAUAUAGAUCAUCUGCUGACACAAAGACUACUGAACUGAAGCACAUGGAUGGCGAUACUUUAAUUCCUUUAUUUCAAAACUGGAGAACACAAAUGAUCUUUCAAUGUGCGGUGGAUGGAUAUAUCUACUGCGCCGACCAGUCCUUCGUCUACCUUAGCUCAAUAGAUGCACAUCCGCACGACAUGCAUGUUAGUCUCAUCAACACACCUUCUGCUCGUGGUAGUUCUCUUUAGACUAGUUGCACGCAAACUAGACUCUAGAUAAAAGAUAAAUCCCAAUUACGAGGAGCUAGUUGGAUACUUGCAAUGCUGCUUGGAAUGAAAGGCAUCAGAGAACUCGUCACCUUGCAUUGGUGGACAAACUGCUGGAAAUUCAUACAAAUCAUUGCAUCAAGCGCCAUCGAUCACCAAAUAGAGGCGCCUCAAGGGCGGGGCUCGCCUCGUUGUUAUAGCAAUGUUUGUUUGGCUGCGUGCCUUUCGGAGAAUCAGUUCCUGAAUGUCAAAGAUUUAUUUUUGCAUUAUCUAAACCAGAUGUGUUUGCUUCCAUCAUAAGAUGGCGAUGGUCCCAAACAAGGUGACCUCAAACCCCGGACGCCCUGGUAAGAAUCAGUAAGGUUCCUGUGUGAAAACCUAUUAUAGUGCCAUUCAGACAUAUCCGAUAAAUCGUUCAGAGACCGGACUCCUAUUAUAUGCAUGAACAAGACGAAGUGUAGUUCCAUUGUUUUGCAAAAUCGUUCAGAGACCUCCUUCCCUACUCACUGAGACCUUCUUCCCAUUGGAAUCCUGUGCUCCGUGUGGCAUGCAGCAGGCCGGUGGAUGCUACGUACGCCGAGCUCUCAGGCCGGCUGCUCGCCACCACAAACCCCAUCCUUCCCGCCGCAACCAAUUAAGCUCCUCCACUCACCUCUCCCUAUCUCCCUCCACCGAGCGCCCGCUGGUGUGGCGAAGUAUGUAUACCGCUUAGUUCAAAGGAUCACAAUGCAAAAUGAAAUACUCACUCCGAUCCAUAUUAAUUAUCUUAAAUUUGCCUAAAUAUGGAUAUAUCUAUGCCUAGAAAGCGUCAUACAUGUAAUAUUUCGACAAUUAAAAAAGAUCGAAGGGAGUAUAAAGCAAGCAACUAAUUUUCAUACAUAACGCGGAGCCCACAUGUUUAAUCAACAGAGGAAAGGUUUUCCCUGUCAUAGCAGCUUAAGCUAGUGACUAGGGAGGGUGGCGCGCUGAUCUACGCAUAGUACGUGGCCCAAUCAUUCUAACCUUUUUUAUGCUUCAAUGGUUUUACCAAAUGGUGUAUCUAGUUGUCCAAAAGCCAAAUGUUGAACUCACGGAUUGUAUUUGCUUAAUACAACGAUGAAAAUCAAUAAAGUACCUGUUAUUGAAAUAAAUUAUAAUCAAUAUGUGAAGAACUUUAAUUAGAAGCAGAAUCAUGAUUAGCGGCAAGAUUAAUCAAGGUAUGGCAUUAGCCAUAUCUUGCCAUACUGGGUCCUCCGCCACUGCCGCUGAUAACGCCUCCCCCGGCCCGCCGCCCGCCACCUGCUCGACAGAAUGCCACAACACGGGCCAGCGCAGAUCCAUCGUGCGCACACUCAAAGGACGCCGACGCUCCCAUCGCUGAUGCGCCGUUGAGCCCUUCCACUGCGUGGUCCUCAAGUCCGGCGCCGCGCAUAUAACCAAUAUAUUCCAGCUCGUUUGGUUGGAGGGAAUUAGAGAGAGGGAGUGGCAUGUGAUGUUAAAUCAUUUGUUUGGUAAGAGGACAUGGGAGUUUAAGAGAGAUUGGGAAUGCGAGUUGAGGGACCAAUUCCCACUUUUUUAAUAACAGGAGGAGGGAUGAGAAUUGAGAGAGAAUUGGUUUAUAGAAAUGAUCUCGAUCAACUGUCCAUCAUAACAUAUCUUGUCAAUUCCUUAUGAACUCUCACCAACCAAACACCGGAAUAGAUCUUUCUCGUUAAUUCUCACGUGUAUUUCCUACCCCACACCAAACAAGAGAUUGAGACUAAAAAUCAAUUUUUCAUGUCUAAUCUCAUCUAAUCUCACAUUCUAAACUCUCAUUCUUCUUUCCACAUGUUUGCCAAACACGUUGUAAAGCCAGUCAUAGUGGGAAAUAACAUAAACUAGUAACAUGCAUAUGUUACUAGUUUAUGUUACUACCUCAAUAUUGGUUAGUAACAUAUAUGUGGUAACAUAGAAACCCUAUUUGUUAUCUUAUAGACACGUUCUAUCUUAAAAAGUGUGAUGUGAUGAUAACAUAUCUAGUUACUCCAAAGUUUUCUCUCCUCAUUUAAUAAAUGCCACAUCACCAAAUAAUUUAGUUGGCACUCUUUAUUACCAUCCAUGUUACUCCCACUAUGAGUAGUUAAUUAAUGGACAAAGACAGACUAUAUAUUUACCCCUGAAAAACAAAGACAGACUAUAUAUUUCAAUAGAUCAAUGCACUCGAAUAAUUUCAAAUAGAGAGAACCACCACGUUGCAUGCAUGCAAUGCUUAUUGGAAUGUGAGGCAUCUGGAAACACAUCCCGCGUUGUAUUGGCACAACCUGUGGUGAUGUCCGCGUGAACUCGCGCUCCUACAAAAGGUGCUGUGCUACCUCUUGUGGUACAUGUAGUUGAAGCUCAUAAGUCUAUGUCACAAGGCACACCAGGUCGAACUCCAUCGGGCGCUCUGUUCUGGGAGUGGAUGCAAGCCGCACAGGUCAAGAUUUUUGUUGAUGUUGUAAAAUGCGCAGUUUCAAUUAUGCAAAGGACAAAGGAUAUAUGCUCUGUUCUUGAGUCAAGAAUGGCCAGGAUUGCCAUCCGACAGCGACUGGCCAGAUGCUCCCUGUUGGUGGAUUGAUCCGCUGGACAAGGUCACUCCAAGAAAGAAAUAAACUGUUCUCGUAUGGUGGCUGGUUUUUGAUACCCAAGAACAUAAAAUGUUUGUGGACAAACCCGGACAAGAAUUUGUAUGUUCAAAUAUUGCACAUUUGUCCAAUAGUUGGUGAAUUCCUUGAUGCCAUCCAACUUAGUACAUGUGUGAGCGGGUCGAUCGAUCUAAGAGGUCUUGUGUUUAAAACCCAACCAACAAAUUAUGGUAAAAAUAUUUGCAGCUCUCAUUAAUCCUACUCUUAAGGCUUAAAGUGUUAAAAAUGUGUUUCCAUAUUUCUCCAAUACCUGAUAUUUUUGGUGCAUGCAAUUUAAAACCCAGCCAACAAAUUAUGAUAAAUAUGUUUGCAGCUCUCAUUAAUCCUACUCUUAAGGCUUAAAGUGUUAAAACUGUGCUCUCCAUAUUUCUCCAAUAUAUGAUUUUUUGGUGCAUGCAAUUCAACAAGAUGAUGCUAGAGGAUCCAUUUUUUUUAGAACACGAUGCCUUGUGGUAGGCCAGCGCUUGAGGACUGCAGCCUGCGCCAUCAAUUGUCUUUUAUUUUUAAAUGUGGUUACGUGUUACUUAACAAUAUUGUUUGGGUUACAAUUGAGCAUAACUUGGCACAUCAUGCAGGAUGGCACGGAAUCAUGCAAAACACCACCACUCGACACACUAAUAGACCAACUCCAUCCGAUCCAUAAUAUAUGUGUACUAAAUCAACGACACUUAUUAUGGAUUGGAGGGAGUGUACUGUUUGCAAAAAAAAAUGAAAGAAAGCAAAUGUCUGAUUUUUUUGUGAAUGCAAUUCCUGCUAGAGGAUACAUUUUUUCAGAACAUGAUGCCUUGUGGUUGGCCAGCUCUUGAGGUCUGCAGCCUGCGCUGUCGAUUGUCUUGAAGUUGAUCUUACUUUAUUUUCGUAAUUACUUGUAAUUAACAUUUGUUCCUAUUUCAUAUAUAUUGUACAGUAUGAUAAUGAAGCAUUUUGCAUGCAUUCAAUCAAUCAUUUGUCUAGCUAGCUUAACUCGCAUCAUUUAAUACUAUAUAUCCUCUACUGACACGGAGACAAUUGAACUGAAGCACAUGAUGUCGAGACUUAAUUAAUUCCUUUACUUCAAAAACUGGAGAACAUAUAUGAUCUUGAUGUUUGGUGGAUCGAUAUAGCUAAUGCACCUACCAGUCUUCCUCGUGAGCCCUUGGCUCAAUAUAUAUGCAUCGGCACCACAGGCAUGUAAGUACUCAAGACACCUUGUGCUCGUGGCAUUUUUGUUAGACUUGUUGCACCCAAACAUGUACAUUGUUGUUUGGAAUGAAAGACAUCAGAGAACACAUCACCUUGUCUCGGAGACGAGAUGUCUUUCUGCGUGGGACGCCAACACUUGGUGAGUGGUCGGUGCUCAGAACUCCUCGGUAGCGAAGCAAACAGGUGGAGCAUGUGCAUCCGGUGUUACUUCCGCAAUGGGACACCUUUUGACGGCGUUGGACACAGUCCUUUCCUGUAGGUCGGACAUCUCUCAAAGGUCGUAGUCCUUCAAUCUAAGUUGCCCAACUAGUUAGUCUUGCCGAGCGUUGUAGUCUUCAUUUUUUUUCUUAUCAUUAGUCUUCUAUAUCGGAACAAUUUAUAAAUGUCGAUCUGUGACGUGACUAUCUAUGCUUGAAUAUAUUCAGACCUGGAUCCUUUUCAGGUGAUUACUUAAAAAAAGCGAUGAAUAACCGAGUUAUGCAUUCCAUGGUGACAACAACUCACCAAUGUUUUUCUUAUUUUGACUGGUCUUUCGAAGAAUUGAGUGGUUAUUUUUACCGUACAUCAAGAAACGUUUUGGGCUGGCGUUUUGGUCCAAAGGGCUUCUCUUAUGUUUCUCUCAUACCUUACCCAAUGGAGAGGGAUCCCAUGACUUAAGUCACUGACGUGUGGAUCCAGCCCCAUCUGUCAUGACCGAAUGAGAACUUUUUCUCUCCUCUCAAAAAAACAUGAGACCUUUUUCUCAUUGGAACUCCCCCUGAACUAGUGAACUCAUGUGCUCCGCGGCGGCAUCAACUGCAAAUGCCGGUGGAUGCUGCUACGCCGAGCUCACAGGCUGCUCGCCAUCCUUCCGCCCGCAACUAGCCUCUCCCGCAGCUCCUGCACACAUCCCAGCCCGCACCUCCCCCUCGUCUCCCUCCACAGCCCUGCCGCCGACGCGCCCGCCACCUGCUCGACGGAACGCCCCGCGGGACACGGGCCAGCUCCAUCGUGCGCGCGCUCAGGGAAGACGACGCGCCCCUCGCCGACGCCGUCGAACCCCUCCACUGCGCUGCCCUCAAGUCCGGCGCCCGUGCUCACCUCCCUCCACGCGGCCUACGCCAGGUGUCCGCCGCCACUAUGACUGGAUUAUGGGUCUAUCCGUUGUUUUAUUAAUAUGGACGUGCUACUUUCUUCAUGGAUUAGAGUUAAUUAUGUUGCCUUAUAAUUAUGUGCAGCUGGAUGCGUAGUCGACCACAUGACCACACAUCCAUCGUCAUUUGUCAUUUCCGAAGCUAGGAUCGAUAGAUAUUAGCACUAUUGUGUUGUUUUCUGCCCCCUUUUUCUUUAUGCGUACAUAUCAAUGUGAGAUGUAUAAUGCACAAACAUCCUUUUGGAGGUGAGGCGAUGAGAUGUAUAAUGCACAAACAUCCUUUUGGAGGUGAGGUGAUGAGAUGUAUAAUGCACAAACAUCCUUUUAGAAGCAGAAUCUUUUAUGAGAUGACAAUGAUAAUGAUGACGAUGAUCUUAGUUAAACAGGAUGUGGAGUAUAUAUUUAAGCAGUGGCUCAUGUAUUGACAUGUACAUGUGUGCCUCCAUUCACCCAGAAUAUCCAUAGUACCAUAUGAACAAUCAAGGAAGCAAUUUACAUUUUGUUUACUUUACCCGGCCAUAUCAUUAAAAUCUUAUGUCUCAUGUGUACUUUUCUACUCCCUCCGUUCCAUAUUAAGUGACUUAAAUUUGUCCAAAUAUGAAUGUAUUUAUAUCAAAAAACGUCUAAAUACAUGUAAUAUUCCGUAGAUGCAGCGCUAUUGAAUAUUUGAACGGAACGCACAUGGGUGUUGAGCAGAGUCUCUAUAGUCUUUUUGGUACUAGCUAUAUCAAAUCUCCAUUGAUAUCUAACGCGUACAUCAAUUUUCUUUUCCUCGUGUGCAAGCAUGAGCACCCGUCGUAUAUAAAGUAAAGACUCUCCCUCCCGACCUAGGUAAAUACACAUCACAAAUUCACAAUACUAAAUCUUGCUAGCAAUGUAUCUCCCGCCUGUCCUCCGCUCUCAUUUCGAGAGUAUACCCUGAAAAGUAAUAAGAAGAAUGGCGUUGACAAAAAAAAGAGAGAUAAUGACAACGACCGCGAGGAGGUCAACUUGUGAUAGGACCGAGAGGCAUCUGAAAACAAAGCGUCUGAGUUUCUGUAACUUAAUGUAGUUGAUGGACGAUCACCAGUUUCUCAAUAGUUUUGUUUUCACAUUGCAACGAAGAAAGAAGGGCAUGUAUGCGCAGACAGGCGGGGAAAAUGGAUAAGUAGACAACUAAAGAAUGGCCGUACCAGCGAAGCCAAGUACACGGGGUUUGGGAGAACUAAAACCUGUGUCUUGCAUAAAAUUCAAGUUAUGAAAAAGAAAAUUGUUCGAUGUGCCAAUUUAUUCAACUGGAGAUGGGCUCUGGCGUUGUCCGCCUCCAUGGCGAAGAUCGAAGGACUGCCUGGCAAUGCAAGUAUGCAACAUACAAGGACGCAGAUCAGUCUCAUUUUAAUACUAUCCUGACCCGUACUCCAAAUUAAAUCUUCGGUUCAGUAGGCGUUUCUCCUCGAUGCUGCGGCAUACCACAGGACGGAGGCAGUUACUACAUGAGAGGCCUUUGGACAGUUGUAAAAAUACACAUGGAUGAUAUCGAGAAAGACUAUUGAACUGAAGCACAUGGAUGUCAGACUUAAUUAAUUCCUUUAUUUCAAAACUAGAGAACAAAUAUGAUCUUGAUGUUUGGUGGGUCGAUACAGCUAAUGCACCUACCCUAGUCUUCCCGUGCCUUGGCUCGAUAUAUAUGCAUCGGCACCGCAGGCAUGUAAGUCUGAUCAACACACCUUGUGCUUGUGGCAUUUUUUGUUAGACUAAUUAACUGAAUCCAAACAUCUGCAUUGCCGUUGGAAUGAAAGACAUCAGAGAACACAUCACCUUGUCUCGGUGAUGAGGUACUGUUCGGUGGGAAGCCAACACUCGUUGAAUUGCCGGAGCUCAGAUACCCUUGGUCACCAAGCAAACAGGUGCAGCAUGUUCAUCUGAUGUUAACUCCGCAAUGGGACGCCUUUCAACAACGUCGGAGACAAUCUCUCCCGUGUAGUCUUACCGGGCAUGGUAGUCUUCGUUUUCUUAUCAUUACGCUAUUAUGGUUUUCUACAUCGGAACAAUUGGUAAAUGUCUAUCCGUGACGUGACUCACUAUAAUCUAUCCUUGUAACUUCCGUUUUUCGGCUAAUGAAGUCGAACAUGGAGCCUUUCCUGAUGAUUACUCAAAAAAAUACGGUGAGAAAUAAACCGAGUUAUGCAUGAACAAGCUGAAGUGUACUUCCAUUCCAUGGUUUGCAAAAGAAGUGAAAAAUGUGAAGUUCCAUGGUAGACAACAACUCGCCAAUGUUUUUUUUAUUUCCGACGGGUCUGUUUAGGAAAAAAAAAUUUAGGGGUGCUUGUUUAGGAAUCGAGUCGUUUAUUUGGUACUGUCAAGAAACGUCUGGGCCAGCCUUUUUCCGUUUCUAAUAUUUUUGUUGUGGUUUUAGUUCAAAUUUGACCUAAAAUCACGACAAGAAUUUGAAAACGGAUGGAGUAAUAAUCAAAGACUUUGCAUGCAUCCAUUCAAUCAUUUGUCUAGCUAGCUUAACCUGCGUCAUUAAAAAUCAAAAUAUAUAUCCUCUGCUGACACAGAGAGUACUAUGGAACUGAAGCACAUGGAUUUGGAGGCUUAAUUAAUUCCUUUAUUUCAAAACUGGAGAACAGAUAUCUUGCUGUUUAACUAAUUAAUGCGCCUACCAGUCUUCCUUGUGUGCCUUGGCUCAAUAUAUACGCAUCGGCACCACAUGUCCACAUGCAUGUAAAAAAUCUGCUCAACACAUCUUGUGCUGCACCCCAAACAUGUGCAUUGUCGUUUGGAAUGGAAGACAUCGGAGAACACAUCACCUUGUCUAGGCAACGAGAUGCCCUUCGGUGGGACGCCAAUCACACUCGUUGAGUUGCAAAGCAAACAGGUUGAAGAUAUUCAUCUGGUGUUACCUCCGAAAUGGGAUGUCUUUCGACGGAGUCGGAGACAGUCUUCAUGUGUAUAGCUUGGAGAUCUUGCUAAGGUGCAUGAUAGUCUUUCUGGGUGCGGUAGUUUCUUUUUUUUAUCAUUACCAAUUAUGGUUUUCUAGAUUGGCAUAAUCGGUAAAUGUCGGUACAUGACAUGACUAUCUAUUCUUGUAACAUCCGCUUAUGGGCUAAUAUAGACGGACAUGGAACCUUUCCGGAUGAUUAUUACUCAAAACAAAGCCGUGAGAAAUGAACCGAGUUAUGCACUGUACAAGCUGAAAGUGUACUUCCGUUCCAUGGUUUGCAAAAGAAGUGAAAAACGUGAAGUGCCAUGGUCGACAACGACCUCACCAUUUUAUCCGGCGGGUCUGUUUAGGAUUUUUUUUUAGCGGAGUCCGUUUAGGAAUGGAGUAGUUUUUUUAGAGGAACAAGUGGUUUUUUUUAAUUUAGAACAACGAGUAUUUGGUACCGUCAAGAAAGGCCUGGGCCGGCCUUUUGGGCCGUUUUUUUUCUCUUCCGUUUCUCUCAUCCCUAUUCAACGUAACCUUCUUCCCGUUGGACCUCCCGUGCUCCGUGGCAGCAGCAGCUGCAAACGCCGGUGGAUGCUACGCCGAGCUCACAGGCUGCUCGCCACCACAAACUCCAUCCUUCCCGCCACAACCAACCUCGCCCGAACCUCCUUCCCACAUCCCAGCACGCACCUCCCCCUCGUCUCCCUCCACAGCCCUGCCGCCGAUGACGCUGCCGCCGACACCCGCCACCUGCUCGACGGAACGCCCCGCGGGACACGAGCCAGCUCCAUCGUGCGCGCGCUCAGGGAAUACGACGCGCCCCUCGCCGGCUCCGUCGAAUCCCUCCACUGCGCGGCCCUCAAGUCUGGCGCCGUGCUGGACCCGCCCGUGCGCACCUCCCUCCUCGCGGCCUACGCCAGGUGUCCGAGCGGCGGCGACCACGACGCGCGCGCCGCUCUGGUGCUCUUCCACGAGGCAGAAGACCCGGACGUGAUCCUGUGGAACGCCGUGAUCGGCGCUCUGACGCGGGCUUGCCGUCUCGGCGACGCCGUGGCUCUCUUCCGGCGGAUGGCGGGCGUGCGAGGGGAGGCGUUCGAUUCGACGACCGUGGUCGUCAUGCUGUCAGGGGCGUCGCGCGCCGGCGAAUUGGACCUCGGAAUGGCGCUCCAUGCCGCAGCCGUAAAGAGACGCCUCGACACUGACAUGAACCUCUGGAAUGCUCUCGUCGACAUGUACGCCAAGUGCGGAAGUUUUUGCGAUUCGGAGGCCGUGUUUUGGAGUAUGCCGUGUUGGGACACUGCCUCGUGGAAUUCUGUGACAGGUGGAAGCACGUUCAAUGGACUUUCUGAGGUUUCGGCUUGUUACUUCAGAGAGAUGAUCCGUUUGGCAGUUCAGGCAGAUGAGGUGACCCUGUCUUCUGUAAUUUCUGCUUCCUCUCGCGCAGAGGGUCUUUUCUCCUUUGGAGAGUCUGUCCAUGGCUGCAUCGUCAAGCUUGGUUAUGAGGAUACCGCGCCUUGCUCGGUAGCGAAUUCCCUGAUAACAUUUUAUUUUGAAUUUGGGUUUCCUGAGGAUGCAGAGAAGGUAUUUAUGAGAAUCUUCAAGAAAAAUCAUGUAUCAUGGAAUGUUAUGAUCAAGGGAUUGAUGGAGAAUGAAAAGGCUGGGGAAGCCCUGGCUGUUUUCCGAGAAAUGCUAUCAGAGUGCCAGCCAGAUUUUGCCACUUUGGUGGCUGUAAUUUUAAGCUGUGGUGAUCAAGGACUGCUCUGUGAAGGGAAAGCAAUCCAUGGAUACAUAACCAGAAAAUGCCUUUUCCAUGUGGAGUCUUCCCUAGGAAACAGCUUACUUGGUUUGUAUAUGAAAUGUGAUGACGCAUAUACUGCGAACCUUUUGUUCAGGACAAUGCCAAUAAGAGACCUGAUCUCAUGGAACACAAUGCUUUCUGGUUACUCGAGAGAUGACUCGCUGAGAGAAGAGGCUCAAGCUAUGUUCAGAGAAUUACUUUCUGAAGGUUUAAGCUGCACCAUGACCACUAUACUAGCUGUUAUACCUUCAUGCUCUUGUCCAGAAGACCUUAGGUUUGGCAAAGCGGUUCACUCUUUUGUCCUGAAGUAUGGAUUUGCAAGUGGAGUUUCAGUUGUUAAUGCUUUGAUGCACAUGUACAUAUGCUGUGGAGAUUCACUGGUUGCCUUCACGCUGUUGGGAAGUAUAAUGCCAGUGUCAGAUAUUAUUUCAUGGAAUACAGCCGUAGUAGGCUGUGUACAGAAUGGACUCCACAGAGGCGCGUUGGAAGCCUUUCAGUUCAUGCAUUCAUCUUUGCCUUUAAAUCCUGACAGCAUUACGCUAGUUAGUGUUUUAUCAGCAUGUGGAACUCUUAAGCUGCAAUCCCUAGGAAAAUCCAUCCAUUCCAUGGCACUAAAGCGUUUGCUUGUAUUCAAUUUGAGGGUGAAGAAUGCCCUGUUAACCAUGUACUUCCGGUUUGCAGAUACUGAAAGUGCUGAGUUAAUCUUCUAUAGUCUCGGAGAUAGAAAUUUGUGCUCCUGGAAUUGUAUGGUCUCUGGUUUUGCACAGAAUAAUGAUGGCCGGAGAGCAUUACAGUUCUACCAGAAGAUGGAAAAAUUUGUGCCUAAUGAAAUGUGUACAGUCAGUAUUAUUUGUGCCUGUACUCAACUCAGGGAUGUUAGACAUGGAAAGAGCAUACAUGGGCAUGUGGUGAAGUCUGAUCUUCAAAAUAAUGUGUUUCUUUCAGCAUCGCUAGUUGAUAUGUAUAGUAAGUGUGGAAGACUCGACAUUGCUGUCAGAGUAUUUGAAUCCUCUACUGAAAAAUCAAUUGCUUGCUGGAACUCCAUGAUAUCAGCAUUCGGAUUUCAUGGGCAUGGGUUGCGAUCGAUAGAACUUUUCUGUAGUAUGAUCCAUUCUGGAAUGAAAGCCACGAGAAGUACUUUUAUUGCUCUUUUGUCAGCUUGCAGUCAUGCUGGACUUACUGAUGAAGGAUUGAAGUAUUACAACCUUAUGUCAGAGAAAUUUGGGAUUACUCCGACACCAGAACACCAUGUAUGCAUCGUAGACAUGCUUGGCCGUGCUGGUCGGCUGCAGGAAGCACACAAAUUUGUCGAGAGUUUACCGAAAUCCAAGGAAGCACAUGGAGUUUGGGGUGCACUUUUAAGUGCUUGCAGUAACAAGUCCGAACUCAGGAUGGGUGAGGCCAUCGCUAGACAAUUGCUCUGCCUAGAGCCUGAAAAUAGUGGUUAUUAUGUGACUAUUUCUAAUCUGUAUGCAUAUCAAGACAUGUGGGGUGGUGCUGUCCAGGUUAGGGACAUUUUGCAAGAUAAAAGAUUGAUGAAGCCCCAUGGUCACAGCAUUGUUGGAUAAAGGGCAGUCAAAGAACCUUGGAAGCUACACUGUACCAGAAAACCCCGCACUAAAUCACAAAAGCUGCAUGUUCACUUAGCUAUUUUCUUCAUGCAGGCUUGCUCAAACAUGACACAGGUAUCUGUUUUACAUAGGUUUCCUUGAUAGAUUAUUUUAUCUUCUAGACAUUCCGUCAUUUCCUCUUUUUUAGGUUCGGUUUUACAUGUGUGACAAACAUUUUAGCAUGAAACUGAACCGUGCAUUAUCAUUCUUAUUUUUUUAAAUAACACAAUUUGUUUCGUGUGGUUAUUAUGAAAUACUAGCACGAAGCCCGUCCCUUGCAACAGAUUCACACGUAUUAAAACAAUAAAAAACAAUCACUUAUAUCUGCUCAUAUUCCAACCAUUUAUGUGAGACCAGUAACUGAUUGAGAUCUUUAUAUGAGUAAAGAAGUUGCAUUUAAGCAUGUCAAACUUGGUGUCAGUUUAUUCGACAUAAACUAGGGCUAUUUUCUGGUAAGACAAUGUAGCAUAUACAGUAAUGUCCUGCCUAUCUGAAUGUUCCAAUGGAGAGCAGAAUGCAAUUUCUGCACACAACUCUAUAUGUCAUCAUGCAUCUAAGUUAGCCAAGCAAUCUGUAUGAUUCAUAUUUACUUCUGAAAUACCGAGACGAUUCCAGGGAGUUUAGCAUGUGCACCCUAUGAAUCGACUUCUCUUAUGCAUUAAAGUCCAUUUUGUUAUAAGAAAUUGUGCCUUACAUAUGUCUCUUUUUUUUUGCGCUGGAGUCUUUUUUUCUGCGUUUGCGUCGCAAACUAACAUUGCAGACUGCACUUUCUCUCAUAAUGACCUUACAGCUGCCAUUCUGAAUCCGAGCUUGGCGACAUCACAGCACAGGGUUCUACACUACAUGGUCGACAAGGAAGUGACGCCGCAUCUGGUGGACGUGAGCGCCCGGACCGGUUCCUCAACUGGAAGUUGGAGCAGUUUAGGCCAAGUAAGUACGUGAUGCUGGUAAGCCUGAAGCUUUGCUACUGGGUUGUGCCAUGGAGUCAUCAUGGGUGUCCCUGUGGUUAGCUUCCUUUUCCAACGUUUGCACAUUUCUGUAGAAUCUGCUAACAAAGGGGAGGUUUAUCUGCAGGACGCACUCGAGAGCCAAUGAAAAGCUGGGAUCGAACUGUACCAGUUGCUGCAAUGAUGGUACUGCGACGUGACGCCAAAAUUCUCAGUCAGGCGAGAACAUUACAGUAAGAUCAUAUAUAGCUAGGCGACAGGCCGGCAGCUGCUCUUGUGGAGUAUAUGCUGCGAGUUAUGGAUUUUAAGUCGAGAUCUCUUUUAAGUGCUCUGUUAGCUUAAGAUGCGGCCACGUGUUGUUAUGGAUUUUAAACCGUGUGUCAAGAGCUUAAGCUGCAGCCUAACAGCCAGCGUGAUGAUCGGAGCAGCAGACAGAUUGGUGAAUGGUGGUGGUUGCAGGUAGGUAAAGCUUGACUGACCCGGCUCAACUUGGCGAACCAGCAAUUCCAUCUCUUCUGUUCUGUAGCAUCACUCACAGGUGGGCUGGGUUGUGUUUCGCCUCAGACAGACAGACAUGGAGCAUGUGGCCGCUCUGGAAGCCAGCCUAGAAAUACCAGUAGUAGCCUCGAAUUAAAGCAAUUGAUAAACACCCUCUCCCUCUGUCUCUCCAAACAUUUCUUGUCACUAAAUGUUCUUGUCGGUUUUGGACAUUGGACAGUCCUUUUUUGGGCAAGCUUUGUUGUCGUUGGUAAUCUCCCGGUUUGCUGUGUCUGGCACGUGUGAAGGAAAAAAAAAGGUACUACUACGGCCAGCUACCUCCUAAGCUAGGAGUAAAUAUACUACUGUACUGGAGUAGCGCAUUGCCGUUUGUCCCACCUCUGAUCUAGAUUGGCAUUCCUAACUGUGUGUAUGUAUGUAUGUACGUACGUACGUGUGAUGCACUCACAUCACAUGAACAGAGGAGAGUAGAGACAAUUGCUUUCUGGAAAGGCAGCUGCUGGCCCUGUGCAUGAGAUAUUGUAAGGCACCUGUAUCAUAUCUGCCGACUGCAGGUUUUCUUUUGGUUAGUUCCUUGGCAAAGUGGGGAAGCUGCCAUUUGGAUCAGCUUUUUUGUUACUAAAGAAAAGGAAAACCAGAGGAUGAUGGACUAGAGUGAUGUUGGUGCCAAAACAUGUGCAGAUUAAGGUGCUCUAGCUGUCUGAGAUGUCUAUUUCCAUUUUCCAUUUCAUGCACGGCACACUGAUAGAGAGCUUUGUUUAAAGAGGUUUUGCAUCAUGAAAAACUGAAAGAGGCGGCUAUCGCCUUACGAGAUGAGAGAGCUUUGGGUACAGUACGUGGCCGUGGCUCAAAUCAUUCGGACACAUCCAUUAUUAAAAGCAGAUCGUGAGCCUACUAUACAUAGCUCCUGAUUUUCUGCGAUUUCAAAAGAAGACGGUGCACAUGCGUGACACACACAUCGACGUGACCUCGUCCUCUAAUUAAUUACACUCUGGAGUUGAUGGAGAUUGGAUAAACAUGUCGCAUGGCCCUUGGUAGUAAGUAGUAACAAAAGUACGUAAAAAAAUCCUUUAUUCAUGGGAGUUUCUGUGAUUUGUAGAAUUGUCAUCCAUUGGUCUUUCGUCCGUCCUUGCAUUAUACUCCCUCUUUUUAUUAAAACCAUGUUUUAACAAAACUAUGCUUCAGUCUUUGUAAAAAAAAAUGUAAUACUUAGGGUUGCAAGUGGGAGCCGCUUAAGUCACACUUCCAGUUCAUUUUGGAUUUUAAAUCUUGACAAAAUUUGAACUAAAAUUGGAAAAUUGAACUAGAAGUGGAACUUAAGUGAGCUCCCACUUGACACCCUUUUUUCUUUGAAUGGAACACCCUAAUUAAUACUCCAUACUUACAUGACCAAAAUUUAAAUCCGAGGAUUUUAAACAUAAAUGGCCACUUUGUAAUGCUACCUUUUCCUUUCAAAAUCAAGCCGAUCAUGAUCAAAGUAUCCCUAAACAAUCAAAGAGAGCAGACAUGCCAGCUCUCUUCGGGAAGGAUUGAAAGCGUGCAUGAGUUCCCAUUCCGUCUAGCUAGCUAGCGCGUAGUUGCAUAAAUGGGUCGGCAGGUACGCUUUGCUUUUGCUGUUACCCCCUGCCCGUUGCCAUGCAUGGCACGAACCCAGGUCGCAUGAAUGAGCACGCACGCAGCAGCCAACAGAAUUCACGAUCGAUUUCUACAUCGUUUCGAUCUUGCUAUUACACGGUUCAUUUAUCAGGCACACAUUUGUAAACAGAAUACUCUCUCCGUUCGGAAAAAAAUUGAUGUAGAUUUCACUUAUUUCGGUGAACAGAAUACACAGAAUAUAGUUGAACAGACAUUCCAACACAUGGUGUUGGUCAGUAGUCUCCGCAUGACAUGAUGUCCACUAUCUUGGUGUAGUCAAACCCACUACGCAUAAUUCGUAGUCAUCCAACCUAACUGGCAUUUUCGACCAUCUCCUCGCGGUAAGAAGUAAAAUAAAAUAAGCAUGUUAAUUAUGAAGGCGUCAUACUUAAUUUUUACUCCAUCAUAGAAUUACUUAGCAAACUAACACUUGAUGCAGUAAAUUAGAUGUGCUGGAAGUUGAAAUGUAUAGAAACCUAAAUCACAAUAGAAGUAAAACUCAUUUCCUUCGCAAAACAAUGUGCGUGUCAAAUUGCCACGUCUGUAUUGUGAGUUCUUUUUUUUUUUUAAAUAACACCAUGCGAAACCUAGAAUAUUUCACCUUUACCAAUAUUACAUCGUUUCCGAAACCUGCUUUGGGUUCUUUGCUACCACCACGGUUGCAACGAGACAACUCUACCAAAUCUUUUUUUAUCAGAAUUAUCAAAAAAAAAACUUACUAGUCUCUGUUUGUAACAUAAGUCAACACCAAAAUGCUUGUAGCUUGGAAACACAGGGAUACAAGGAGGGAAAACCAAAAUUCAAAAAGAAAGCUGGGUAGCAAAAGAAAAAAAAACAGGGAAAUUAUCGAAUUGGAAAACACCAGGAGAAAAAAAGAAAGCUGCAAGAAAACAAGCAGUGGCUAGGAAAACAAAAGAACAUCACAAGGACAGCAGGGUGGACCCCACCGAGAAGCCCAACUGCUCCCCACGAGAGUGGACCCCACCAAGGUGGUCAUGCUGCUAUACUAGUACGUGCAUAUCCAUUUAGCACCAGCUUAUUAUUAUUAGGUUAUUUUAUUGGGUAUUUUAUUAGGGCUAAAUUGAAUACUCCGUACUCCUCCAAACUCCAACUCCCCCAUCACUUCCACCACCACCCCCGCAAAAUAAACAAACAAACCAAAGCCCAAAAAUAAUUCGAGCAAGAGGAGCGGCGAGGCGACGUGGAGCUCGGAAGGCAGCCCCCGACUCGAGCGAGCGCGGUACAGCAGCGAGCGGCGGCCGAAGGAGGAGGAGGAGGAGUUCCCGGCGCAAACACCAGCGUCCCAAUGGCGGAGAACGGCGAGAAGGCGGCGGAGGGAGGUGGUAGUGUGGGAGCGGGAGAGGGGGAGGAGCAGGAGGUGGAGGAGAGCGUGAAGCUGUUCGUGGGGCAGGUGCCCAAGCACAUGACGGAGCCGGAGCUGCUCGCCAUGUUCCGCGAGGUGGCGGCCGUCGACGAGGUCACCGUCAUCAAGGACAAGGCCACCAGGGCCUCCCGAGGUGCGUGUGCGGAUCCCGUGCGUGCGUGCGUACGAGCGCCCCCCGGAUCUGGGGGCUGCUGCUCGUCCCCGCGCGCCGGAGAGUGCUUUCGGCUCUGCGGGGGAAGGGGCGGGCAAUGCCGCGCCCGGAAUUCGAGCUCUAACCGCUGUUCUUCUUCUCCCUCGCGCCAAAAAGCUUUCGCGUGCUCUGUCGAGCUCUUUUUUGUUUUGUUUUUUGCUUAGUGCGUGGUUUUCGGCGGAAUGCCGCAGGGGGUGAAUUGGAGAGUUUCGUGGGGAACGGAUUCGUAGUGUCUUCUCCCGUGCUCGAGGGAGAUCUCGGCUCGAACUCUCCGAGUGCUGCGGUUUUGAGCUCGAAUCCCAGCUCUGUCUGUCUGAGCUGCGUUUAGGUUUGCAGAUUUGCUCCAAUGCUGGUGUCAAUUCUGCCUUUUUACCGCUCCGUUUUCAGAAAGUUCAGUUUUAUCAGUACUAUUUCUGUUUUACAUUGCCUUUUCCCCCCUCUAUGUUGUUUCGCUUGAGCUUGUUUUGAAGCAAUGCAGGCGCAAAUGUGCUAUACUUGCGUCGAUUUUAAGGUACUUUGGGGAUUGGAGCUUCGACAUUUAGCUAGUUUGGGGGUUGGAGCUUCGCUAUUUAGAUGGUUGUUUCUAAUUGGCGUCAGAAAAUAAAUAGUGGGAUGAGGUUGCUUUGGUCUUCUGUUUGAACUGGCAUUGCACGAUCUCGCCAGAGAAUGUAUUGCUUCCAGUUUCUUGUUCUGCCUGCAUGUUUUGACUGCAAUAGCCGCUGAGUAUAUCACGACUAAUGUAUGCUCCGCUGCAUGUUGAGAUUUAGUCCGAGUUCCUUGUUUUUCCCUAAGUUGUGUAGCACUUUACGUUGGUGAGGCCGAUUUGUCCCUGCUAACGCCUUUUUUCCUUCAUCGAUGUGGCACUGCAGGCCUGAUUGUGCUUGUCUGAUGCUUGAUGCUUCAUACUUUUUCCCAUCUCCCUCUUAAUUUGACUUUUCGAUCACGUUAACCCAAUGCAGGGUGCUGUUUCCUUAUAUGCCCCUCAAGGGAUGAGGCUGACAAGGCGAUAAAUGCGUACCACAAUAAGCACACACUCCCGGGGGUAUGUGAGCAUUCCUGUCUUUACCAAUUAAUGUCUUUUUUAUGCCAUCUGCCUACGUGGAAUUGUUACAAAUUGAGUAAGAUUCCUUAGCUCUUUCUUUGCUCGCAAAUUAUGAGUGGUUCAUGAAUAUUCGGUUGGCAAGGGUAACACAUAUCUUCAGUUGUUUGGUGGGACCAGAUAAAAAUCUUUGUGGCACACUCUGCGGAUGACUUAUUAGUGGGUGGGCUAAAAUUUUGAUCUGUUUAUGUUGAAUGUUUGUGGGUUCCUUCAGGUUCUGUGUGCAUAAACAAUUUUAGUUUGUCAAGGGGUCACACAAAUUAUUGUAGGGCCUAAACAGUUGAACCCUGAAAUUGUAGUUUCAUGGUCUAGUAGUCGUUGGUUUGGCAGGUUAUGCCCUUUUCCAGGCUUGCUUUAUUUCUGAUAUAUGAAGGGUAUCUCUUACUCCCGCAAAGAAAGUAGAAGGAUAUUUCAUACUCCCUCCGUCCAACAAAAGAUGUCUCAAGUUUGUCAAAAUUUGGAUGUAUCUAGACAUGACUUAGUAUAUAGAUGCAUUCAAAUUUAGUUAAAGUUGAGACAUCCUUUGUUGGACGGAGGGAGUACUAUACUUGACCCAGAUGGUAAUUUUCUUUUCCUGUAUUGCACUAGGAGACACGAUAUUAUAGUUAAGCUUUGGUUCUUGUUGGAUAAAGCUGAUCAUGCUAUGUGGUUAUCCAACUAAAACAUUUUGUUCUGAUACAAAGACUUUUGAAAGUAAAUACUAUUAUUAAGGAUGCAAGUGGGCAGCCCACAACCCGCAUAUAAGUAUAUCUAAAGUGAACUCUUGGUUACAAUUUGAAGUAGGAAAUUCCACUAGGCUGACUUUAACUAUACUUAUAUGUCGGCUUUGUGGGUUGUCUGCUUACAUCAAUAACUAUAUGUAUCUUGCAGCAUUCUCAUGCAAUACAAAUAAUCAUGUUUGUAACAUCCAUAAAUUAUCUGUAGCUGUUGGUUCAGUCUUUUGUCUGCUGUUGUGAUGAUAGAAAAAAAGCCACUGCAAAUAUGGAACUUUGCGUUAAGGUCUUCUCGUUUUAUGUUUCAGCAAGCUUAUGUGUGGGCUUGCACUUUGUUGCAGAUAUUAUGAAAAAUAAUUGGUUUAAACUCAUGGACUAAGUAUUCUGUUAUGGCAGGACAGUAGGAGCAUUAGUGAAGGUUGUUUCCUUCCAUCGCUAAUUUAGCCAACUGUAACCUGACUGAGAACGCUGAUGCAGUAUAUGAGAUAAUUAGUGAAGGUUGUAGUUACAGGUUUUAUAUCUUGACAAGUGAAAAUAUUAAGUGGAAGAAACAAGGUUACAGUUAAUGUGAGUAUCACCUGUCUGUGGAUGGCUUGCCAACAUUUGGGCCACUGGAUGAAAAGGAAUAUUUAGUUGGAAGAAUCAAGGUUACAGUUAACUUUAGGCAAGAGCCACACUACUGGAGCUACCAGCCUACCACAUGAUGGUGCAAAUAGUGGGGUGUCUUCAUGUUUUAAUGGCAAUAAGUUUGGGACUCUGGUAAAAUUAAACUUGUCACCACACAGUGGACUAGGCUUGUCCCUGAGAGAAAAACAUACAAAAGUUAGAUCAGGAAUUUAGCCACCAUAUAUUUGUACCCAUUUUGUACGGAAAAUGAACUGAUUGUAGCUUCAGCUUUGUGGCACACCUAACUGAGGUCCCACCAAACCUAACUCCAAGUGGCUCCUAUCAAACACAGCCAAAAUGUUAAUGUAGAUGCAAUCAUGCGACAGUUACUCAAACUUUUGGACUAAAUGCAAAAUCUCAUGAUAGUGCAUGCUUUGGACUCAAGUAGCUUGAGUUGCAACUAAAGUUCAUUUUUGUUGAUGUAUUGCAUGAUUUGGUCCAACUAGCUUGAACGGCAACUUAUGUACUUUAUCUGUUUAAUAUGCAUGGAUGUCAUUUUUUUCUAUGGUGGGCCAGAAUUACUUUAUUCAUAAUGAUAAAGAACUUCACUGAGUAUUCAUUUUAGUGAUAUAGCUACUCUUCUGAUGCAUUAUUUGGAUAUAAUCCACAAACCUUUUCUUCAAGGCUUAUGAAAGUACAGAUUUUGCAGACCUGUUGCUACUUCCCUUUAUUCGCUGAUGACACUUUUUUCUUUCCCUCUGUUUAAUACAGGCAUCAAGUCCUUUGCAAGUAAAAUAUGCUGACGGAGAGUUAGAGAGGCUUGGUAUGGUUGCCGUUUAUGUAGAAGAACUUUUGUCUUUGCCUCAUUUUGUACACGAGUCUUUGCUCAAGUUUUUUGGCACCUAUUUUCUAUUGGCAUGUGAACAGUGCACUCAUUUUUACACUUACUUUGACUUCAGAACACAAGCUUUUCAUUGGAAUGCUUCCAAAAAAUGUGGAAGAUACUGAAUUGACGGACUUGUUUUCUGAAUAUGGAAAUAUCAAGGAUCUACAAAUUUUGAGGGGUUCACAACAAACAAGUAAAGGUAUGUCUUUAUCGAGAAGUUGCUUUCCUUGCCAACAGAAGUAGAAACAUCACUUGACUCUGAAACAUCAACAAUGUUGAUCAACUUUUUUUUAUUGCAGCUGGAUGUGCCUUCCUUAAAUAUGAAACCAAGGAGCAAGCAGUGGCAGCUAUUGAGGCUCUAAACGGGAAGCACAAAAUAGAGGUUUGCCAAAUAUGAGUUAGGAUAGCAAGGCAAUUUUGAACUUGUGGAUAUCACUUAUUCCCGGUGAACUGUUUACUUAUUUUCCCCAGCAGCUAUACACAACAAACUAUUCGAUUGCUUGUCCCUGUAUUGUGUUAUCUUCGUCAAAAUUUCAAAUUAUUUGUUUUCAGGCUGAUGGUGUGAAGCCUUUGGUAGCCAUACAACUUGGUGGCUAACCUCUACUUUUCCUGAAUAUUUAGAUUCAUCAAAAUAUGACUUAAAUGAUCAAUUGACGGUUGCCAUUCCUAAUCUAUUCCCCAUAUAGCGCUUACUAGUUAGCAACUACUUACUGUUGGUGGCAUGGACACACUAAAAAUAUGUACAUCAUGAACUUGUUUUUACCAUAAAACCAAAAGAUACCAAGGAAAUAUGUUGAAACAUUUUUACCUCAGUGAUGCAUAGCUAGCGAUGCAGCAACCCUUUUAGCCUACAAUAGUAGUACAAAUGUUUUUUUUUUCUGUAUUACCUUACCCUUUUAGUGCACUCUUCAAUGUAUUGGAAUUUCAUUAUAUUAAUCAUCUGGACACCUUCUGAAGUCUAAUAUUUAUUGCUUGAUUUGUAUGUGGUUCUUAAGUUCUGAUCUAUUUGUUAGGGUUCAAGUGUACCAUUGGUUGUCAAAUGGGCUGACACAGAAAAGGAAAGGCAGGCCCGGAAAGCACAGAAAGCUCAACUGCCAUCACCUAAUAUGCCAAAUGGAGGUCCAAUGCCACAAUCUUCAGUAUUUGGAGCUUUACAGAUGGGAUAUUUGCCUCAUCAGUAUAAUGGAUUUAGUUAUCAGGUGACUUUUGCUGCUCUUGUAACCUUGAUUGCACUAUGCACUAUCAUAGCACAGUUUUUUUUAUAUAUAUUUAGAACUUCAAGUGUUCUGGUCCUAGUUUCUUUUCAAGAUAGUGUUCAGAAAAAUUAUCGACCAGAAUAUGUUAUUUGUCACACUGUGUUCUCACCCUCAAAGUAUUCUUAAAACUUGUCCAUCUGUUGCAGUCCUGACUGUUCCUUAGUUUCAAACACAAAAAGGUGGUAUUUAUCAUAUGCAUUGCAAAAAGAAUACUCAUUUCAUUGGAACUGCCAAAAAUUUGUCAGAUUCACCCUCAUUAUGCCAAUGGUACUUUAAAUACCUAAUUGUUAUAUGUUGGAGCAUCAAGAGAUUAAAUAUGGGUCUUUACUUGUCAGCAUUUAUUUGCGUGCACUGAUCUGAUAUGGAAUACAUCUUCGACUUUUGUGUGCAGCCUCCAGGGACAUAUGGACUUAUGCAGUACCCUUUAUCUCCUAUGCAAAAUCAAGCUGCCUUUCAGAAUAUGGUUCAGCCUAAUCAAGGAAACUCGAUAAGAGGAGUCAAUCCUGAACUAUCCCCCAAUGCAGUUUCAAGAUCGUUUAACGCAAUGCAUUUAGGCAGCCCUUAUCCAGGUGUGCCUGGUAUGCAGUAUACUGGAUCCUAUCCUGGUGGUCCCAUGAGCAAUCGUCCUUUUGGGAAUUCUCACAAUCCGCUUAAAGUUCCAAGUGCGAAUGUCAAUUCUAUUGCAUAUAGUCCCAGUAGCAAUGGUGGUGGCCAAACACAAACAGAAGGUUAGCCACAUUUGAUGCUUAUCUUUAUUUAUUGUGCAAGGGAAUAUACUAUAUUGUUCCAAGAGUAACUGCAACGUUAUUUAGCAUGUAAUUUCCCCAAAAUGCCAUCUGCAUUUUCUUUCUUUGUGAUGAACAUUAUCCUGUAGCAAAAAUGAACAUCUGUACUUGUGGUCGCAACAUGUAUAUGAGGCUAUCAGGAGAUGCACACAAGAAUCUAGCAUGAACAUUGAAGACUGAUUGAUAACUCUGAUUGUGGAUGUGACUACUUGUUUCUACUUAAGUACUUCACUAAUCCAUAUUGCAUUGCACAAAUCUUAUCAUCGUAGAUAUCCUACUAUGCAACACCUAAAUUACUAGUUAACAGUUUUCAUAGCUUCUAUUGUGAAGUCUGUUGAGUUGUGAACCUAACAACAUGUGCACAGGUCCUCCUGGAGCCAAUCUAUUUAUCUACCAUAUCCCACAAGAAUUUGGGGACCAAGAACUUUCCGAUGCCUUUCAGAGGUUCGGUAGAGUAGUAAGUGCCAAGGUCUUUGUAGACAAAGCAACGGGUGCCAGUAAAUGCUUCGGUAAACUCUCUCACUUGCUCACUCUCCUGCACCCAUCGCUCACACGAUCUGUUAAUUGGUUACAUCUUGGUGCAGGUUUUGUAAGCUAUGAUUCUCCUGCUUCCGCGCAGUCAGCCAUCGGUAUGAUGAAUGGCUUCCAAUUAGGUGGCAAGAAACUCAAAGUACAACUCAAGAGAGACAACAGCAAGCACAGUAAACCGUUCUGACAAAACCAUCUGUGACGACCUUACGAUCAUUGUUCUUGGUACAUAUUUGUCAGAUAGUUGAUCGUGACAUAAAUUGUUUCCCCUUGGCCCUGCGUGCCGCACCGUCCAUGGAGUCUACUACCAGGGAUCCCAUGUAUCUUCUUCGUUCAGUUCACAUUCUUGAAAAUUCGUUUACCUCGGUGUAAUUUUAUCUCAGCGUAGCAGUAGAAUUUGUACCAUCAGGCCCUUGUAUACAUCAGAAGUCAGAUUCAUUCAAUUUUACCUGUUCCUCCUGACAUAUAUGACUCUUGACUCACUUAACUUGUUUUCUGAGUCGUUUCCUAUCAUGUCCAUGAUACGAUCAUCCUGUUUGCAGUGUUUUUUUCUGUAGAAGAUUCAAUAAGAACUUGUCUAAUUAACAUACUGUCCCUCUGUUUUAAGGAACUUAGCACUGUUGGCUUUCACCAGUCUAAAAUGUUUAGUUGGUUACACUGAAUUGGUAUUCUUAGAUUUGCCUUGAAAAAAUAUUAUUGCAGUUCCCAGUGAUCCACUUUGGAGAGCCUGAAAAGCCCAGAGUGGCAAGUACAUUCUGUAAAGGAGAAAAUGUUUUCUACGCAAUACAGUAGAGGUCAGCGUUGGAAGGAUCAAUGGAGGCCCACACAAGGCUGGUAACAAACAGCUUGAGCUGCUGGAAACGUCGCCAUGGGCCCAGAUUCCUUUGUCCCAAAAGACAAUUUGGCCUUCUUAUUACGUUUAGCCCUCAAAAGGGCAGUGCAACUGCCAACAAUCCAAAUCACCGUUGGUGGACAGGAAAACCCCCAGCUCAGCUCACCUGCCAGCAUCAAUGUGGAGACUGUAGUAGUAUUAAUCGGAUGGCGACAGUUCUUGCUAUCAAUUGGCCUUCCUUCCAUCCAGCCAUCAUUAAAUCCUAGUCGUGGUUACUGACGAUCGACACCGAUAGGCCACAGUAAGUGCUAACAGUACGAACUUGGAAGUCUUUUUCGUGUUUACGUAAUCUUAGAAGAGAAUAUAGGAUAUAGCUGAGAUUGGUGGUCCUUAAUUAAGCACCGGCAAACGCUGAUUGCCCAUAAAUAGACUAGAGUAGAUCACAUUCACCUGGCCGGCUGUCAGAGCUUUGGAGAGGACCAGAGAAGUACCAUUGCCUGCCUUAACCAUUUUGGCUGUUAGUAAAUGCAGUUGUUGCACAUGCACAUUUGGAGUAUACUAGUCCUGUGCAAGUAAGUAGGCCAAUUGAGUCUGAACUAAAGAGUCCCCGCCAAUCACUCUCCCAGUUGUACUCAACACGAGCCCUUGUUUUCAUAAUCCAUUCAAUUAUCAUAUAUAGGGUUCGGAUUUACAAACUCUUAAGGACAGAAAGAAAACUCCCCUAAAAAAUUAACCGUAUAUACUCAAAAGACACAGAUAAGAUAACCAUACAACUUGUCUUCGCACAUGUUUUUUAUUCCCCUACAGGAGGCACUCUUGGAUCACAAUUUGCACAAGCAAGCAAAUUGAACCAACCUAAUCAUCAGACAAAUCCACCAAGCAGUAAUUAAUCCAUCCAUGCAUGCACUGGACUACCGGGGAGAGUACCGGAGAACUAUGCACGGAUCAAGCCUUGUUGUACAGCGGCGGCCUGCUUGUUCUUGACCUCGUAGUAAUAAGGCAAGAACCCUCCGUCGAGCCGCCGCCCGGCCGACGACGACGACGACGACGGCGUGACCUGGAGGAAGAGGUAGUUGCCGGCGAAGAGGUCCCCGACGUAGGGCCCGCCCUCCCUGAGCCGCCCCACCACCUUCGCCACGGACGCCCGCACCCGCCCGCCCACCGCCGCCGCCUUCCGCCGCAGCAGCCUCGCCAGGCCCGAGAUCCUCAGCCGCCGCCGACGACGCCCGGUAGCAUACGAGGGCCUCCUCCUCGUCCUCCCCCUCGUGGCGAAGAUGGCGGUGGCCGCCUGGCUGUAGUAGUCCUGGAUGGCAGCAGCAGUGGCGGCGGCGGAGUCGUCGUGCUCGUGAUCGGUGGGGGGCGGGGGGAGCUUCUUGAGCUUGCGGUAGGAGAAGGAGCCGCUGCUUCUCGUCGUCAGCGGCGGCAUGACGAGAGAAGGAAGGGAGAACAAGUGUUGUGUUUGGGGCUGCUCGUGGGGAGGCUCAGGAGUCAGGUCGAUCAAGCACGUAGUACCAGCAGCAGAUCGAUCAGGACGUGCUACGGUGCAACAGCUAGUGUUUGCGCUUGUACUGUGCAACGUGUUUGCUGUGUACGUCAAGGGCCCCGCCGGUGACAGAUAACCGGAGGACCCUGACACAACAAAGCGGACUACAUAGAAGAAUUACAAGAAACGAAAACCAUACUGUACGCCUAGUAUCAUGGCCCGUAUCAUGGAUUCAUCCUAGAGACUGGGUUCGACCAUGACAGCGGCAAGGCCUUGGGUGUAUGUGUCACCGUUGCAGGAUACCAUCAACGAAGGCCAGAUCGAGAUCACGGGUUUUCACCCCAGAACAAGUGUAAUGGAUGAUCAUGCAUGCAUGGUUGCCUAGACUCGGUUUGUUUUCAUACGGGGUACUUCGGGUACCUAACCUAACCCGCAUCAUCGGUCUGAAAUUAGAGCCAUACCAUACGGAUGAUGGUUAGAAAGAGAUGGGGUUGGUGAUGAUUAAUUGAAGGAGUGCGAAUAGGUGGUUGGACGAUGGACGCUGUUUGUUGGGUAGCUGCUAAAUAGCUUCUGAUGCGAGAUGAGCUGAUGACGAUGCUCCUCGCAUUGAUGCGCCGCACCGCAUUGCACAUUCGCACUGCUUGCUGCUCAGUUAAUAAGUUGCCACUAGCCCACCAUAGCUAGCAGCCGGUUCGUACGGGCAUCUUCUGCACGGCCGCGCGCGUGCACUGUACAUGUGCGCAGCGUACCAGCGGGCGGCCGGGACAGCGAAGCCACAUCUGAUUUUGCUUGGUUGGCAUGAGCUAUAUCUGAAGAUGAAGUUUACUUAUUGGGGAUGCCCCAACACAGGAACCUGCUAACACAAAGUUAUAUUGGGGUUUGCAGGCAAGGAACAGGUAGGAUGCGUGGAUGACUGAUCAAAAUUACAAGCUUGCAGGACGGAUACCUAGGGCAUCCUCAACAAUCUAUUAUUCAGGUUAUCAGGGUCAUGAAACUAGACACCGGAAAUUAUAUGCUUUGCAGGAAGAGUACUCAAGAUCGAGGAAACGAGACACCAGAAACCGGAGGCAAAGAAGCUAUGCCCUUUCUCAUGUUAAAAAACAACAACAAAAAGGUUUUACACUGGAAUGUGAUAACGUAUCCUCUUCUGAACAGCAGCAGCAGCAGUACAUGGCGAUCCGGCGUAGGCAAAGGCAUUGCCGGUGCACAGCCAGAGAAAAGAAGGGCCUGCCACCGCUGUGGCUUUGACCACUCAGCUUUGCACUCAGCUCUGCUUCUGCCCUUUUUUUUCGCCCUUCUUGCCUUAUACCCCAUAUCCCAUCCAUAUUUACAUUGGACUAACAAGUAUAUAUAACAGCGGACUCAUGACAGAACGAACGCCGAGGCAGAGGGGGGCACUGCGUUGUUGUGCUCCACCACCCGCCCCGGCUGUAAGCGGACAUAAGAACGAGAAGAAAAAACCCGGCCGUGCCUCCAUCGUGUCCUCUCUUCGAAACAUCUCUAGUUUAGAUCGUCUGGUUAGCCGCGUGUUUUGUCGGUGUGUCAUAGGAGGCUCAGCAGGGUACAUAGUAUGAGGGGUACCAGGAGCCAAUGGCAGUAGCGCCUCAGGGUAGCAUGAGCUGCAAUAGGCCAAUGGUAGAGAGUAGUUAGUGAAAGAUGCUAAAUGAUUUCGUCAGAAUAAGAUGGUACACGAAACAAUGAACGGAGGAUGCUACAUGAGGUAAUCAUGCAAGAAAUGAAAGACUAACCAACCAAUCCAGAAAAUAUAACUGACACAUCUUAAUGAAAUGAUAGAUAGUUGGAUACAGAUACCACUUCAUGACAAUUGGGAAGUAAAAUCCCAUAGAUGGCACAAUAGACGUGCACAUUAUACUUAACAGGUCAAAAUGCCACAAUCCAACAAUGAAUUUGUUCAAUUUGACUGUCAUCGUUGUCUUAUGUUAUCAUGAGAAAACUAAAAUUGUCUCGGCGCUUUAGGAAAAAAACUAUCCUUGUCAGCCUACAAACUGUUGAGCUUAAUUGACUAUGAGUUCAUUCUCCACUCGACCUAGCUGGCAGACAUAUAUCAUCAAACAAAUGGGUAAGAAAACAUCCACAAAAAGUAAACCUUGGAAAAUGAUGCCAACUGAACAGUUUGCCAAGGUAACAACCAAAUGAACUGGACUUUGUAUUAUCCUCUAGCGCAAAAAAAUUGACUAGAAAAACUAAAACUCGAAUGAACUGUCAAAAUCCUCCUACGAGUAUAUAUCAGUUGAAUAGUUACCCAUUUGGACAAACUUUUACUUCCUUUGUGCACAUUCUACAGUGAAUCUUUUGAAAUAACAAUUACUAGCAAAUAUCGAAAUAUAGAAAGGAAAAGAGAACUCACAUGAAUGAGGUGCAGGGGCCACAUUUGACAUUCCAGCAGAUGGACCUGUUGUUGCAUGCUCACUUGGAGGAUGCGCAUGACCAAGAGAAACGAUGGGCAAGGGCGGCUCUGGAAGAACUGGAGGGGAUGGAACGGGUGAUCCACUGUUCUUUCUGGGAUCAUGUGGAGGAUGCUGACCAGGCGAAGGUGACAAUGGAUGAGGCGGCGAAGCAACAGGAUAAGUAUAAUGGUGAUCAUCGGCUACAGGUUCAGCAGCUGGCGUUACAGGAACCUUGUUGUUUGGCCUUUUGCCAUAUGGACACCCAGAUGGAGAUGGAGCAACGUAUCUGGGAGUACGUACAGGGAAAUUUGUUGGAGCAGGAGCAGGAGUCAAAUGCCUGUUGUCUUCAUGACCAUGGUGAUGGUGAUGAUGGCCGUGAUGACCAUGAUGUUGCAUGGGUGCUGGACUAGGUGCAUCAGAAUAGCCCCCACUAUGCAAAGAAUGUCUAAGAUAGGAGGACAGGCUUAUCUGUUUUACUCUGCCAAAUACAGUAUGGUUCAGACCAAGGUUCCCUGAAGAUGAAUUCGUAAUUUUUUGCGCCAACUGCUUCAUCCUUGGUACAGAUGGCUGGUGAUUCCCAACAACACGAACAAUAUAGGUCUCAACAAUAGUGGGAGGAAGAACUGUUGAACCUUGCAAAUUUCCCAAUUUGAUAAAAAGAUUCUGCAAUGCACAAGAAACAAAAUUCAGUCAAAGAAGAAAAGGAGGACAGUGUACACUAUUUACACACGCUUUUUGUUAUGCUUGCUAAAAACUACUCUACUCACUCAUCGACCUAUUGCAUGAGUUGAUAAAUAUAGUGCAUAAGCCUAUUGCUCCCUCAUACUCAACGACCUACAUUUGCAUGCAUGCUCCCCAAAGUAAUAUGAGCAAAUGAAAAUGAUGCAGGUGCUGUUGCAUAAUGCAAGAAAUUAAGGACAGACUGCAAGAUUUCACAUGUCUAAAAGGAUACGUAUGGGCUGGACCAAAUACAAAUGUAAAUUCCUGAACUACAUAAAGAAACAGAUAUCCAAACCCCUCAGACAAUUCUGCAAUGAAGGUCACUAAAAAGGGGGUUCAGUUAAAUGAACAGAAGUUAUGUACAAGUGUAAACUAGCAUUAUUUUGAAUUGCAAUCAUAAUGGUGACAGACAACAAUGGAACUAGGCCAGAAGGUAGCAAUAACCUCAUAAGAAUUGAGUAGCAGUCCUGCCUUCAUUUGAUCCUUUAACUCAUCAGUUCUGUCUUGUACUUUGUAUAUUGGGAAAUUCAGACUGAAAUUAAAAGUUGCAUGGGGUUUCUGAGGAAGAUAAGCUUUUUGCACAGGAAUUAUUGUUAUUCCACCAGGGAACUUGAGCACUUCAAAGGAAGAUGAAUUCCCAAACAGGGACUCGGUCAAGUGGAGUGUUGACUGUCGCACAACCAAGGACAUGAAAGAAGACCUAAGAAGGCUCAACCAUGUUGAUGAUAUAGUCGAGUUCUUUGGAUAAGGCACAAUGCUGAAGAUGACAUUUGUCCAGUUCGAUCCAACUAAUGGCUGUAGUGAAUUUACAACCACCUGCAUAUGUAUUUGAAGCAUCAGUUACUGAAUGCGGAACAGUGGAAGGAAAUAUCAAGAACCGGAAUGAAAGAUGUUGCAGGGCAUACAGUGGUGUUAGGGAGUCCAAUUUCCGCAUAGAUGUCCAAUUCGAGCUGGGAUGUAUUUCCGCUGAGCUCAGAAACCGUCUUCCGUAACCUAAAGCUUGCCACUAUAUCAUCUGAAAAACAAAGGUUCAUUAGACACAUGAUAUAGCAAUAUUCCCAGUACUCAUAGCACAACAGAAGGGAGAACGACGCAAUUGCUUAAAUUUAAAUUGGAAAAAAUUAGAACCAUGGGUUCCAAAAAAUACCCCUUCAAUAAAUUACACCAAAAAUUUCUGCCUUAUGCCCAUGGAAAAAAUUGUUGUUUGGGAAUUGGGAAUAGAUCACAUCAAAAAAUUCAUGUCUAGUAAUCCAUUAUAGUAUCCUUUAUCACAGCUGCUGCAACUUGCAACAACAUGAAAGGGGAAGUGACAACAACUAUAUCCCAUUAGUAGCUCACAAAACUUUCCACCGACAGUUCCACAGUCGGAUGAAAACUUAUGGCACAAAAUCAUGCUGAAGUGCCACACAAAAUUACCCUUUAAAUAUCGCUGAGAUUUAACCGAAGUUGAGUCUCUGUCCCCAUCCAUACACAGCUGCGCCGAUUUAACAUCAACAGUUUUACCAAAAAAUUCCCCUCCUACUCAUUUUCUAAAAACAGCACCGACACACGCCCAAGCAACACAGACCGAAUACAGACACAAUCCUUCCGGAAACCAGCCAUAUGUGACUAAAUUAAAGGGCGAUGCUAUAGUCUCACGGUGAUGAAACUAAGUCAUGGAGCUGUAAAAAAAAAGUUUGACCAGAAAGGACAAUCAGCAUCUCGACCAGAUUUGCUCAAAGCUGAUCCAAAUUCCCACCCAAAACAGCAUCCAUGGUCCGCUCCGUACAACCAGAUCCAAAGAAGACGGUGAACAUUUUACCAAUCCGGCACACACAAAUCGAAACAGCCACCACACUCUACUCGCGUGCUUGACAUUGCCGAAAACCCAGAAUUGAAGGCGAGAUCUCGCAAUGCGGCCCCGGUUGUUUGGGGUAGCAGACACUCACCUUGGAACCCGGCGGCCGGAUCCGGCCCCUCCGCCCCGUUCCCGCGGCCCGCGAACGGCGGCAGCCAGAAGAGCGCCGACAGCAGCACGGCCGCGCCGAGCACGAGCGCCGCCACGCAUUGCAGCCGCACCACACCCGCUCCUCCUCGUCCGCAGCAGCAGAACCUCCCGCCCCUUCUUCCUCCUCCUUCUCCCCCGCUGGCGCCCGCCCCGUCCGGCGGCCGCCGCUGGUGCCCCUCGCCGGCCUCCUUCCCCAUACGCCCGGCCCGCGAUCUCACGCAUCCCGGCCCGCCACCGCCGCCGCCGCCAUUGACCGCCCCCCCUCGCCCGCCGCGGAGAGAGCUAGCGACCAACCUAGCAGCCGCAGUGCGCGUCCGUGGAUCCCUUGGUCUGUUGCUGGUGGGUGGCGCGAGCGCGGGCAGGAUGCUAGAGCGUCGGGCCCCGCUCCGCGGCCGCCGUUGCUUAAGGAGGAGGCGAUGCGGAUGCGGAAGGUGCGAGAAAGGGAGGGUUAAACCGCAGCGAGGUGAAACGGAUCGGAGGAGCUCUAGAGAAGAAGAGGAGGAAGAAGUAGGAGGAGCUCCAGCAGCAGCGGUUGGUAAAAGCUCGCUGGGAUUGGUUUGUUAAAGCGGCUAAUUCGUGCUUUUCCGGGCAAAUCCCUCCCUCUCUCUAUUGCUAGUGCGCGCUAAUUCGGCUCUUUUGUUUCUCCAGUUGGCUAAUUCGGCUUUGGUUUUGCUUUUGUUGCCUUUUGUUUUUUUUGCUGUGAUAAUAAUAGGUGGUUUGUUCUUAUCUGGGUUUUUGUUGUUGCGGAUGGUUUUGAAUUCUGGAAGAGGCCAAAGUGCGAGCUACUAGGAUAGUAGGAUCUAGGAUCUUCUGCGCUACUGAACAUGGGAAGAAGAGUGGAUGGAUGUUAGGUGGCGUGUGGUUAUCGGGCGUGUCACUGUUCCUCCUCCGCUCAACGGCAGCAGCAAGCAGAGUACAGUACAAGUGCAGGUGAGUGUUUUGGCCAUAGCCUUCAUGCUUUUUGUUGUACCGAAACAUCUCGGCUCCAGCUGAACUAGUGAUGAUACAAAUUCAUGCGAAGAGAAAGCAAAGCAGCAUUAUGUUCUGAUUCUGGACACUACGGGUUUGCUAGAAAUUUCGAUCUAUUACGUGAGAUGCCGCUUUCGGAGAAGACGUGCUGAUCCAUCUAGUUUUUUUUUUUUUAGUUAAGUUGGGUGGCAAAAGGCAGAAAGGCGUGUGAUGCGGUGGCGCAGGAGAUCCGGCAGCGUGCGUCGUCGUUGUAGAUGGAUGGGUGAGCGACCCGGACCCGUGAGUGGCGCGGGCCCGGCCCAGGGCUUCCUUCCUAUUCGCGGAAAGCGACUCUUCCGGCCCAGGGCGCCCAGCGCGCGGAGGUCUCUUCUGGCUGGGUAAGGCCCACUGUGUCAUUGGGAGACGGAGGGCCCAAGUGGCGCGGGUCCAUGGAACCCGGGUGACAAGUUUUUGCGUUUCGUCGAGUUUGGUCCACGUGGUUUCGCGUUAAUUACGAAGAAGGCGUUGUUGUUGCUGCCAAUGUAUCCAUCACACUGGCUUGUGGACCCCGGUGGCAGCUGGGGCCCCUGCGUCACGACGCGUGGCUGCACGGACGCCGAUGCGAUCGAUCAGCGUCUUUUGCCCGACGACAGCGACCGGAACAGCGCCAUGCAUACAAGAGGACGGAAAAUAUGCGCCGUCACUGGCUGGUGGGGCCAGGACAAGCUGAUAGGCCCCACCGGUCGGAAGGGGUUCAGAUCGGCGGUCGCUUGGGCCGGGGUUGGGGACUCGCUGUCGGGGAUUGACGAGGGAAGACGGCACCUCGUCAGCAAUUGGACGCAGGCAGACCAACCAGCUCGAUGGCUCUAGGCCGGCCGGCCGCCGAUGAGCUCUCACCUCUCACGCACACACUCUGCCUCUGCCUCUCUCUAGAAGACAGAGACAGCGGAUGUGUACACGUGUGAAGUGCAGUGCGGUGCAAGCGUCAGCCGUGUGUGUGUGUUCGUACUGACUGACUGCGCUCCUGUACUUGGUUCGUUGUGCCCUCUUGAUCUCUCAUUAAAAACGGCUAAUUAAUCAACUCGUUGUUGUGAGAGGUCGACGACCGAUCGAUUAAGGACAGUAGUUAAUGGAGUGAUUAAUGGUUACAGUACUCCCGUGCAUGCCGUCGUCUUGUUUAUGACGCUGUCGAUCGGCUUGUACUACUGUAGUAAAUUGACAGUUCGAUACAGUACGUAUGUCUUGUGCAGAACGGCUGCUGGUGUCGAUCGGCUUGCAGUAAAUUGACAGUUCGACGUUAUGUCUUGGGCAGCAAGGCUGCUGCCCGUUGCAUCCUGCUGCGGUCUACGAGGUCCUUUCUGUUUCUGCUGGUACAAGACACGGUACAAUUAUUCAUGUGUUUUCCUAGAUGUUUUCCGUCCUUUUUACCCUGCCUUGGUGAAGGUUUUUCACCGCUAUUCCAGCAAGUACUCCCUCAGUUCCUAAAUACUCGUCGCUGUUUUAGUGCAAAUUAUUCAUGUGAGUAUUCAUCUAUCUCAAACAGCAAGUAUUUGUCUUAUUCUCAUCCAUCAAAAUAAAUACUUGCUCAAAGUGUUUUUUUUUUCACUAUUCCAGCAAGUAUUUGUCCUUUUCGCAUCCAUCAAAUGCCACAAAAUUUAAUCUUGGGAUUCCACUGAGGUAUCGAAUAUAACUCUCCAGCAUCUGCUAUUUUUAGGAACUUUUGAGAUAUGCAAGUUUGGCGAAAUGGUGGUUUCCCACCGCAUCAAUGUUUCCACUUGAUAUUUCAUCACAGUUGGUAACUGAUUCGGCGUCAGAUAUAUAGGAAUCUAACGAUCAAAUAUAUCAUCCAUGAAAGCUUAGUUUACAUAUAGAUAAGUUCUGUUCAAAUUGUUUAACAACUACAACUGCAGUUCCCUUCAUAAGCAUUAACAACUAGUACAACUAUCUUUUUUCCAAACAUAAAUGUACACAUUUUAGUAUCUGUCCGUCGUGAUUGCAAGGGCAACUCGGCGCAUUGACAUCUAUCAUGCUUGACAAAUAAUCUAAGCUGAUGUGUUUGCAACAAAAAAAUGGUCUAUUGCAGAAGACUGUCAUUAAUUCAGAGAUUUAUCAGUUACUCCCUCUGUUCCUAAUUUAGCCUACCAAAACGUCUUACAUUCUUUUUUAUUUUUUGCGGGUGAACGUCUUACAUUCAGGAACAGAGGUAGUAGUAUCUUCAUAAUCCCAGUGAGACAACCAUUUGAGCAAAACUGCAACCUUCUUCAUGUAGUUCUUCCUAGCUUCAUGCAUGCUUGAACAUCUUCAUGCUUAGCCAAUGCAGGUACACCGCCACAAUUAUAACAGGAAGUGUCAAGGGAACGAGCAGGCAGUAAUACCUGGUAAGCAAAAGAUCAAAGUAAUGUGUAUAAAAAGAACUUAUCUUGAUUACAGUAAGCUUGCAAUCGCCCGGUGCCAGGCAGAUAGGUAUAGUGUUUUAUGUAAUGUGCCAAAUAGUUUGUCUUAACUAUGUCAGAAGUCCAUCAUCAUCAGCGGCAUUGGAAAAAAAAUGAAGCAAUCUGUUGAUUAUCUAAUCUGUCUUGAUGUUCCAUACCUAUCAUUUUGGAUGGCAGACAGAAGCCGGUUCUCAUAUGGUGGAAGCAGCUUGGACACAACGGCGGCGUAGAAGAAACCCACAAACAGUAGGAUGCCAAAUGCAACAAAUGCUGAACCCACCAGCUGCUCUCUAGAAAACCGCAUCACCUCUAGAUUAACCCCCUUUGAUGCUCAGCGAAGUUGCGGCAGGUGCAUUGCCCUUCGAAGCGGAAAAGAUUCAUUGUCAUGGAAGAACAGGCAAUUGGAAGCACAAACUGAAUUUUCAACAGUAUUAUUAGGCAGUCCGGACAUCCACAUAUCCGGUUCUCAUUUCGCAACCUGAGAUAGUACAGAGCAUUUGCUUCUCUGAAACUUACUGACCUUACAAGUUACAAAGGCUGUACAAUUUUAGUUCCUAUACUGAUUGAUGCUCACGUGUUGAAGCAAUUGCAGCAAGAUUGAUACAGUAGCAGUCAUAACUAGAGUAAUUUAGCACGAUUGGUUAGGUACAAUGACUAUGCUUCUAUUUCACCGUCAGCAAGAAAUACUUCACCAAUACCAAACAAACUAUACUAAACUGUAAACAACACCAAAUUUGAGAGAGAGAGAGGGGGGCUACCGAUUGGUGAUUUGAGGUUGGCAGUGGACUUGAAGAUUGGACAGCGCGUCAGCGCCACUGUCAACUUGAAGAUUGGAGAAAUUUGGGGAGUCGGCCAGUCAGAGGAGAUGACGAGCAGGCGACGGGCGACGGCCGGACGCCCGUACCGGACGGCAAGUCUGCGCUGCCGCGCUGGACCUACGGCGAGCGCGAAUCCCUGACCUAGCGGGCGGGGCCGGAGGGAUCCGGGGAGCCGGACAGUGGAGGAGGCGGGCGGCGGGAAGCACUGCGGUGGCCGGCGGCGUUGCGCUGCGCCUGCGCUCGAUCCCCAGGUGUGUGUUUUUUCUUUAGAAACUAGGCGCAGGUAAAAUAGACAAUGUAUGUGGGCUCGUGUCCAGUCCAGCCCACGAUAAAACUUCCUUUUCCGUGAGCCAGCUCAAGGGCCGGAAAGAAAACGAUUCGGCCCAUAAAACUAGCCGCGUUCUCCUACCCUAACUUUUUUUUUUGGUUAUACGAAAAGAGAAAAACGAAGAGUCCUCUGGUGGCUCUCUUCCAAACCGGCCGGCCAAUCAAACAACCUGCCGAAAACAACGGAUCCACGGCUAGCUAUAUUUAUCCAACCGGAUUGUACGUUCUUCUUCUCGAGAGACUUUGAGGCUGCUACGAUAGGACACCCCCAGCUUCUCCGGGGCGGCUGAUCGAGACCACUCGAAUAUCAGAAACAAUGUUCAAACUCCUCGAACAGAGCAUGGAGAACUAGAUAGAGAGAGGGGGAGAAUUAUUGGAACUUGAUCGAUCGAGAGAGACAGCGAGGCCGAUCAACCAUGGCGUACUUGCGGAAGAAGUCGAUGGAGUUCCUGAAGAGCUUCGAGGUGCCGUCGAAGAACCCGUCGGAGGACGCGCAGCGGCGGUGGCGGGACGCCGUGGGCACGCUGGUCAAGAACCGCCGCCGCCGCUUCCGCAUGGUCCCCGACCUCGACAAGCGAUCCCAGGCCGAGACCCAGCGCCGCAAGAUCCAGGUUCGACCACCCUGCUUCUCAUCCAUCCAGGAUAUGACAUUCUAAGAUCGAAUUAAUUAGUGUACAAUGUGCGCAUCCAUGCAUGCCUGACUCGAUCAUCUGCUAUAUGCAAAUGUAACGUAUGUACUACAUUGAUUGACUCAUGUAUAAUUAAUUCUCAGAGUCAUUCUGAAAAUUAAUUAGUCUACAGCGUGCGUGGCUCGAUCUAUUCGAUUCCGAUCUGCAACUGGAAUUUACAUACUCCCUCCUCCGAUCCGUAAAAAGUAGCGUCGUCCAUUUUGUACUGGACGCCACUUUUUUAUGGAUCGAGUAGUUGCGAAAUGCAUCGGAUUAAUUAAUCGGUGUUAAUCUGCAACCUGCGUUAGGAUUAAUUGACCGGUCAAAUUCAGUUUCAGACUUUCAGUACACAGUAUGUACAUUGAUUCACGAUUCAUUAAUCAUACAAUGAACAAUGCUCUCUGUCUUUGGUUAAUGGUUUUUGCCUAGCUACUCCUUUCCGAGAGAUCGAAAGAUAGAACUGACUCUUUUAUUUGUAGGCUGUAACGGUGUACUAAUAAAUGGCUUAAAUGUCAAGUCUUGUUUUUAUAGCAUUACAGGCUUAAAUGUCAAGUCUUAAUUAAGACUACGUAUAUAUUAAUACAGAACUGAUACAUGUCUCCUCUUGCAGCUUUUACUAUAAACGAAAGUGUUUAUGUGUUUCAGUAAAAACAAAGUGUUCAUGUGCAUGCAUGGUUCUGAACAGAUGGAAGUAAUCAGCACUAUAUACUCCCUCCGAUCCUAAAUUGUUGUCGAAAUAUUACAUAUAUCUAGACGUUUUUUAAGAAUAGAUACAUUCAUAUUUGGACAAAUUUGAGUCAAGAAUUUAGGAUCAGAGGGAGUAUUAUUUUCUGGAGUAGUUUGUUAUACUAAAUUGAUUGUCUACACUAUUUUGCCAUUCCACUAAUCAUGGUAGACAUAAUUCUCAUGGUACACAUAGCACAGCUAUGCCAAAAAUCGUCAAACCCUGUAAAUCAGGAAAAAAAAUUGCACGAACUGAUUUACUGCCUUUUUUCCAAACCUAUACAGGAAAAGCUUCGUGUUGCCCUGUACGUGCAGAAGGCUGCCCUUCAGUUUAUAGAUGGUAUAUAUCUCCUCCUCCCAAAUAAAUAUCCCAGUCCGUUCCAUGUUUCGACGAUUUAGUUGUAACAAGAUAUACAUAAUUCUGGAUCACUAACAACAUUUAACGGGAUGAAACAAUGCUCUCCCCCACAGCCGCCCGGAGGACGGCGGAGCAGCACCCGCUGCCGGAGCUGGCGCGGCAGUGCGGCUUCUCCAUCAGCGCCGAGGAGCUCGCCUCCGUGGUGCGCGGCCACGACGGCAAGUCGCUCCGGCACCACAAGGGCGUGGACGGCGUGGCCCGCAAGGUGAACGUGUCGCUGUCGACCGGCGUGAAAGCCGACGACGCCGGCGUCCGCGCCGAGGUCUACGGCUCCAACACGUACGCCGAGAAGCCGGCGCGCACCUUCUGGAUGUUCCUCUGGGACGCGAGCCAGGACAUGACGCUCAUGCUGCUGGCCCUGUGCGCCGUGGUGUCGGUCGUCAUCGGCGUGGCCACCGAGGGCUGGCCCGGCGGCGUGUCCGACGGCGCCGGCAUCAUGCUCACCAUCGCGCUCGUCGUCGCCAUCACCGCCGCCAGCGACUACAAGCAGUCGCUCCAGUUCAGGGACCUCGACAAGGAGAAGAAGAAGAUCGACAUCCAGGUCACCCGCGACGGGCUAAGGCAGAAGGUCUCCAUCUACGACAUUGUUGUCGGGGACGUCGUGCAUUUGUCCAUUGGUGACCAGGUGCCUGCCGACGGGCUGUUCAUCGAUGGGUACUCGUUUUUUGUCGAUGAGUCGAGCUUGUCCGGCGAGAGCGAGCCGGUGCACGUGUCGGCGAACAACCGGUUCCUGCUGGGCGGCACCAAGGUGCAGGACGGGUCAGCCAGGAUGCUGGUGACGGCGGUCGGGAUGAGGACUGAAUGGGGGAAUCUCAUGGAGACGCUGAGCCAGGGCGGCGAGGACGAGACGCCGCUGCAGGUGAAGCUCAACGGCGUGGCCACCAUCAUCGGCAAGAUCGGGCUGGCAUUCGCCGUGCUCACGUUCACGGUGCUCAUGGCGCGGUUCCUGCUGGCCAAGGCCAAUGCCAACGCGCUGCUGGUGUGGGGCAUGGAGGACGCGCUGUCGGUGCUCAACUUCUUCGCGGUCGCCGUGACGAUCAUCGUGGUGGCCGUGCCGGAGGGCCUGCCGCUGGCGGUGACGCUCAGCCUGGCGUUCGCCAUGAAGAAGCUGAUGCAGGAGCGCGCGCUGGUGCGGCACCUGUCGGCGUGCGAGACCAUGGGGUCGGCAAGCUGCAUCUGCACGGACAAGACCGGCACGCUCACGACGAACCACAUGGUGGUCGAGAAGGUCUGGCUGGCCGGCGCCGCCACCACUGUGAGCACUGCCAAGGGCUUCGAGGAGCUCGUCACGGCGUCGGCGUUGUCGUCGGAAGGGUUCACCAAGGUGCUCCUGGAGGGCGUCUUCCAUUGCUCCGGGUCAGAGGUUGUCCGUGGGAAAGACGGCAGGACGAGCAUCAUGGGCACGCCCACGGAGACGGCGCUCCUGGAGUUCGGGCUGGGCGUCGAGAAGCGCACGGGCGUCGACCAUGGCGCCGCGGCGACGAAGCACAGGGUGGAGCCGUUUAACUCUGUGAAGAAGACCAUGGGCGUGGUGAUCGCGUCCCCGAGCGCCGGGGGCAGGCCGCGGGCGUUCCUCAAGGGCGCGUCCGAGGUCGUCCUGCGAAAGUGCAGCGCCGUCGUGAACGACCGGCAUGGCGGCGUCGAGACGCUCACGGAGAAGAACGCGAAAAGGGUGGCCGGCGCCAUUGAUGCCUUCGCGUGCGAGGCGCUGCGCACGCUCUGCUUGGCCUACCAGGAUGUCCCUGUGGGUGCCGAGAACGCGGCGGAGAUUCCUGGGGAAGGUUACACGCUGCUCGCCGUGUUCGGCAUCAAGGACCCGCUGCGGCCCGGCGUGAGGGAGGCCGUCAGGACGUGCCAUGCCGCUGGGAUCAAUGUCAGGAUGGUCACUGGGGACAACAUUAACACGGCCAAGGCUAUUGCGAGGGAGUGUGGGAUACUGACCGAGGAUGGUGUCGCCAUUGAAGGGCCCGAGUUCCGGCAGAUGAGCCCUGACCAGAUGAGGGAGGUCAUUCCCAAAAUCCAGGCACGUACAUUACAUACAUAGCUCCAUCAUCAUCUUCUUCUUUUUUUACUCCAAAUUAAGGAGCCAAGUACAAUGCUAAUAAUAUGUGCUAAUAUUGUAGUUGAUGGCGAGGUCGCUGCCGCUGGACAAGCACACGCUGGUGACGAACCUGAGGGGGAUGUUCGGGGAGGUGGUGGCGGUGACGGGGGACGGGACGAACGACGCGCCGGCGCUGCACGAGGCGGACAUCGGGCUGGCCAUGGGCAUCGCCGGGACGGAGGUGGCCAAGGAGAACGCCGACGUGAUCAUCAUGGACGACAACUUCUCCACCAUCAUCAACGUCGCCAAGUGGGGCCGCUCCGUCUACAUCAACAUCCAGAAGUUCGUCCAGUUCCAGCUCACCGUCAACGUCGUCGCCCUCAUCGUCAACUUCGUCUCCGCCUCCUUCACAGGCAAGAAAUUUUUCUGUGUUCUGUGUUUCCUUAUUCGAUCAGAAUCAUCUGACUUGAUUGAUCUAUAGGGAGCGCGCCGCUGACGAUCGUGCAGCUGCUGUGGGUGAACCUGAUAAUGGACACGCUGGGGGCGCUGGCGCUGGCGACGGAGCCGCCGAGCGACGCCAUGAUGCGGAGGCCGCCGGUAGGGCGGGGGGACAACUUCAUCACCAAGGUCAUGUGGAGGAACAUUGUCGGCCAAAGCAUCUACCAGCUCCUCAUCCUCGGCGUGCUCCUCUUCAGAGGAAAAGCGCUCUUCCACAUGGACGCCGGCGCCGACGAGCUGCUCAACACCUUCGUCUUCAACACAUUCGUCUUCUGCCAGGUCUUCAACGAGGUGAACAGCAGGGAGAUGGAGAAGGUGAACGUCUUCAGCGGGGUCUUCAGCAGCUGGGUCUUCUCGGCCGUCGUCGGCGCCACCGUCGCGUUCCAGGCCGUCCUCGUCGAGCUCCUCGGCACGUUCGCCGGCACCGUGCACCUCAGCGGCAGGCUGUGGCUCAUGAGCGUGCUCAUCGGCUCCGUCAGCCUGCCCGUCGGCGCCCUCCUCAAGUGCAUCCCUGUCGGCUCCGGCGACGGCGCCUCGUCGGACCGCCACGAUGGAUACCAGCCGAUCCCCACCGGCCCGAGUGCCGUGUGAUUUUGAAUACAUUAAUUUCGUCCUUGUUGUUUUUUGUCCGUUUAUUAUUAGGAGAAGAUUUGAAUUUCUUUUGAGGUUUUAAUUAAAAUCGACCGACCUUUCCUGUGGAUACGUAGGAGGACAGGGUACCGGAACAGACUUACACACGGCCAGUGGUAGUGGUUCCGAAUGAUUUGAUUAUUUUUCUAUGUGUUUCUGUGCUUUCUAGCAAACCAUGAUUCCGAUGUUUCAUAGCUGAAAUGAAAUUUGCAGUAACAGUUUGUCAACCGUGUGCAUGGACAAACUCAGUUUUCUAUACGAGAUGCACAUCCACGGGGAGGCUCGUUGUGUAUCCACCACCGGCCUUCUACAAACAGAGGCUGUUCGUUCAGCUCAUUUACGGGGUUUUCUACUUCCCAUGUUAGGCGGAUCUAGGGUGGUGCUUAAAAGAGCAACUAUUAGCUAUUUAAGCCAUAAGUAUGAAAUACCCACAAAUAUAGCAACACUAGAUCCAUUUUAGCACAUCCUUCUGACUCCGCCACUGUUCAACGCAUGGACGUCCUUGCAUGCAAGAAUGUGUUCUUGCAAGCUUCCCAUUCCCAAACAUGUUUGGCAGCACGAAGUCUGCGUUUGGCGUUGCGGUGGAUUCUCAUAAUCCUGUUUUUUUCACCCGUUUUUUAUUAUUUUCGUAUUUGGCUAAUCCACUUUUUGUACUUUCAUGUGUAUUUUCUCACAGCAGAUUAUAAAAUAAGUUCAGUACAGCACAGCACAGUUCCGCAAUGCCAAACUAAGCCGAAGUGUGCAAAGAAGCAAGCUGACUCCUUUAUAAACGCAGUUCAUGCUUAUUACACCAGUCAAUAGGGAAAGCGGGUGGCUGUGCAUCAUUAACAUAGAUUUAAGAUUACAUCAAUUAACACAUAUCUAUGGACAACAUAUGAUAACUCUUUUUACUCCAUGUGCUCAGACUAGAGCCGUACUUUUUCGCUUGUUUUUUUUCUUUUUACUUUUCAAACUUCAAACUUCAAGAUGCUAUCUUCCAAAAUAUAAGUUACACAAAUAUACUGCAGUCAACGUUUUAAAAUUUUGACCAUUUGCAUACAAGUACAUGGAUUGAGCAUGUCAAAUUGAUAUCAUUGUAUAUUUGUAUUUGAAUUUCUUUCGAGACAUUAAUUUCUCGUUGUUGUUUUCCCCCCGUUUAUUAGGAGAAGAUUUGAAUUUCUUUUUAGGUUUCAAAAUCGACCGACUUUGCUGUGGAUACGAGUAGGAGGCCAGGGUACCAGGAACAGAUUUACACACGGCAAGUUGUCGUGGUUCCGAGUGAUAUGAUUUUUUUCCAUGUUAUGUGUUUCUGUGCUUUCUAGCAAAGAAUGAUUCCGAUGUUUCAUAGCUGAAAAGAAAUUUGCAGCAAUAGUGUGUCAACCGUGUGCACCGACAAAUUCAAUUUUCUAUACAAAGAGGCACAACAGAGAGGCUCAUUGUGUAUCCUCCACCGGCCUUGUGCAAACGGAGGCUGUUCUUUCAGCACAUUUACGGGGGGUUUCUACAUCCAUGUAAACGUAUCAACAUUCAAGACCCACCUGAGCAGCAUAGAGACGUCCUUGCACAAAGAUGUGUUCCUGCAUGCUCCCAUUCCCUAACAUAUUGUCCUCUGGUUGUCACGACGAAACAAGGCAGGAGAUCAGCUUGAGUGCACGAAGAAGUCCUCUCGUUGUCACGACGAAACAAGGUAGGAGAUCAGGUUGGCUGCACGAAGAAGUGAGCAAGGAAGCAAGCUGAUUCCUUUACAAAGACAGUUCGUGCUUAUUACACCAGUCAAUAGGAAAAGCUGGUGGCUAUGCAUCGUUAACAUCAAUUUAAGAUCACAUCAAUUAACAUUGUCCCUCCAUUCCAAAAUAUACCUCGUAUGGUUUGAUGCACUUGGACCAAAGGACAACCCCUCUGCGCACUGCAAGGAACAGUAUCAUAUGAGGCUAACUUUGCGGCAAGCGAAACCGAUGAACAAUGAAGCCGGCGAGUUGUAUGCCGCCACACCUGUUUGUCACACCAUUCCGUCGGUUUUACACAAGAACGACUCGCAGACCGAGCAGCACAUGGUAGUUCCAACGUUCUGUCUAGAAAUUGAAUGGAACCGAGUCGUUCAGCUUACUGACGAAGGUUUUCUACAUACAUGUCACUGCCCAUCACGACUAGAGUAACAUGGAUGUCCUCACUCACAAAAGAUGUGUUCCUGAAUGCUUCCCACUCCCAAACAUGUUGCACUCGUCGUCCGACACACAUCAUACUAAUUUGUAUCGCUCUCCCGAGUAUGUGCCCAAAGCUAUAGAAACUCCUUUAUAAGGGGGUGCUAUAGAGACGGUUGGUGCUUAUAGAUCAGUCAGUCACCAAGGAAAGUGGGUGGACUUAAUGAUCCAUCCAUUCACACCAAGUUAAUAUCAACGUGUAGCUAUUUUUAGUCAGUCCAGGCUGGGCUUAAGAGGUCAAUUUCCAGAAAUUACAUGGACUGCCCCCCCCCCCCGCAAAGUCGCUCUUGUGUUGGCCCGGUGCUGGGCUGAACACCACUUGGCUGGCGCGGCUACGAGGAUUUGGGGGAAAAUAUCCAGUGUAUAUGUGGUUCAGGUGGCUUUAACGGGAUAACGUGGGUGCCUUCUCGCCCACAUCUUCCGGAGGCGUGUCACCCACAUCUUCUGGCAACCUCCAUCUGAUAUUUUCCCCUUUUGUUUCCUGUUGUGGUCAUCAGACGUGAAGCGAGUAUAGCUUGUUUUGGAAGGAACGUUCGUUUUGCUACUACUGUACGUUCUUUAAUUUGGAAGGAACUUUCGUUUGGCAGAGCAUCAGUGAUGAUCGAUGUCCUCCAGUUCUUUUCUUCUUCCCUUUUCUGUAGCUUAGAACUGUGUCAAAUUGCUUGAGUCCAGUGUCACAAUUUCGAUUCGUUUAAAGGUUCCACGAAUUUUAUUAAUUAUGCCGGACGAGGCAAGUUCAGUUUGUUGCUCCAUGGAGCCUGCCAAAUCAAUCAAAUUAGCAGAUCUCGUUUCAGUAACUCCAGAGAUCUCCGGCGUCGCCGUGGCCGUAGUCUCCGCUUUCCCAGCAGGGCGCUUCGGCGGUGUCCGGCGGCGGCUCCAUGAGCAGCCCCUCGGCGAGGUCCGCGUAGUGCAUCCCCAGGUCCAUUUCGCUCGGCAUGUCGAGCUCGAGCUCCAACUCCAACAUGCCGCUCCCCAUCGCCAUGGGUGGUACUGGCAGUGGCACCUCAAACAGAACUCCAAGGAACGAUGGCCAUGCGCCGGCGGCACCAUGAUCCACAGGAACAACGGCCACAGGAACCACGGCCACAGGGAUGACGACGGACACGAUGGAGGGGGCGGCCUCCCGGCUUAGGAAGCCGGCGACGGCGACGACGGCGGCGCAGCCGAGCGCGGGCGGCGUGGCGGCGGCCGAGUCCGGGAAAUUGAGGAGGCAUGCCGCGGCGGACGGCAGGAGCGCGAGCAUGGCGGCGUCGUGGGCGCGGCCGGCGGACUCGGCGGUGAGGUGCGUGCCGAGCCAGAGGCGCUUGCCGUGCGCGCCGGGGACGCGCACCUCGCACACCCACCGGCCCGCGGCGGCGGCGCCGCGGCUGCGCACGCCGCGGUACACCGGGUGGCGCGUCUCCUUGAACUUGGUGCGCCCCGCCGGGCGCUUCGACCACACCGCCAAGCCUUCUUGCCGGUCGUGCGAGGAGGACGACGAGGAAGGGGAGCUGAGGCAUCGAUCGGAGCCGUCCAUGGCCAUAAACUGCUGGGAAGAUGAAGUAUCCAGGAGGGUCGGUGUUCAAUGGAGAUUGAGCUUUGAGCUGGAGAGUUGAGUAACUCUAUGGUGGUGUGGAGUGUGCUCUUUUAUAGAUUCGCGUUAACAAAGCCAGGCCAGGAAAGCCGGUGCGAAGCGACGCGUGAGGUUCUGUUCUGCAGCGUUGAGCAAAGGCAGCAGCUUCCUGAGCCAGAGUCACCUGUAGUAGCUAAAUAUCUGGCCAAAGGGACAUCUCGCUUGUUGGCCUGUUGGCCAUAGGAUGCACCGGAGGAGCCCAGAGAGCGACGUGCAGUGCGAGUGAAGCCAAACUAGCGAGCGUCAGGGAUAUUUUCCGUCUCCGGCCGGUAGCUCUAAACCGGCACCUGCCUGCCUCGAUCCACAUCUCUUAGGAUUAGCUAGUAUUUCUAUUUCUGGAGCAGUACAUCAUCUUUUGCGAGUAGGUCAUCGGCAGCAACAACCAUCGUUUUUCAACGCAGCCGUUCAUGUGUCGCUUUCUUUUCAUCUUUCCCUUUUCUGUAGCUUCCGAGAGUAGAAAGAAACCAGAAGCUUAAUUUCGCAACGAAAUGGCUCAGUGAACCCACUGAGAUCAAGGAGCAGCGCCUGCUUGUAUUUUCUCCCGCAGUCGUCUCUCUCGGACACCAUUCGUGGCAGGGUUAACUAUGAGAGGAAGUAGUGUGCUUUUUAUAGCUAGGCAGUUAACUAUGAGAGGAAGAUUUUUCUAAGAUUCAUAGAUCACAAAAUAGGGUCAGUCAUGAUCUGACGGCUUUUGUCAGAACACCGCCUGUUGGAUCCGUUGUAAUCCUCUUGCUUCGGGAGAGACGGAUGAUGUAACCCUUCGUUGAUGCAAUAUAAUUUCUCUAUCAGCAACAACAACAAAAACUGUGAGGGAAGAAGUUUGCGCCAAAAAAUAUAAUUAAAAAAGUUAAAUGGACCGGUUAUGCCUUUUAGGUCCGAUUUUCCAGCACCAUUUAGAUCGGGUGCGCACCCAUUUAGUUAGGAAAAGAGGCAGAUGGGGAGGGGGUAACUGCACCUGAUAGUACCUUAUAGUAUAUAUACAUAUAUGAAAUAAAACUUUGUAACAACUUGACAAAAAUGUUGAAUUUGGACUAUACCAACACUUGAUUAGAAACACACCAGAUAGUUUCUGAUUUUCAAAGUAUCUCAAGAAAACCCAUGAAAUUUGAUUUAUCACUUAAGAUCAUAGUUUGAGAUGUGAGUUAAUUAAUAUAAUAAUGGCAUUUUAUGCCUGUAUGAAGUAUAAAUGCUGCGAAUAUUAAAAACAUGUUUUGUUGUCACAUUCAAAAUCAUCCACCAUCGAUCACAAAUGUUGCAGAUGAAACCUUGGUCACUAGGCCGCAGGUCAAUGUAAAUAGCGCGCAACAACAUAGACAUUUCCAGGCCUAAAUUGUGAAGCGACAACGGACAAUUUGUGGGCAUCUUGUUUAGUGUUAUCCUCCGUCUCCGGACGUGGCCGCAGCAAAGAUCGCAGCUUGUUUAGCGUCCAUUUAUGAUGUAGAACCUGGUUUAUGCGGCUGAUGUUGCAGCCUGGUGAAUUUUUCUAGGCAAAUUCACAUAAAUCUCACCACGAAGUGUUUCGUAUUGACCGGGGUUAUGUUCCUGGAUGCCUUCCAUUCGCAGCAGCGUUGCACACGUCUAAAUUUUGGUGCAUACCAUAUCCCUCUCCGUGGAACCUCAGAUGUAUUCCUGUUAUUUAUAGGUGCAUUAGCUCCAAGUUUUAUUGGAAGAAAUAGUUACUCCAGGUCAGAAUUGCCCUAUGGACUUAAUGCUUGGUAUAUUGUCACAACUACUGGAGACGAAUCCUAUAACUAUUUGUAGGAUUUGAGACGGGGUGAGUAAAGCGGAGGCUGUACCCAUAGCGGUAUCUACCCGUAUGGUUGUAGCCACACAUUUCGUGUCAGACAUCGUAUCAGUUGCUUUGUUUUAUAUUAGAGAGAGAUAAUUAGCAGGGAUGUUUUAUAUUGGAGAGAGAUAAUUAAAGGAGGAGUACUACUUGUGUCAGCUACUUUUUGGACGUGACACCUGAAAACUUUUCAUUUUCUUUGCUUCUCUCUCCCUUGCGUCAGGCACUCACAUUUUCUUUCUCACUUCUUUUCUUCCCGCUCGUACUUUUCUCACACCUUUUUAUAAUAUAUUUUAUUCUUUUGUACAUGCAAUUUUAGAGGGCCACUUGUUUCUUUUGUACUGAUUUUACUCGUUUGUACAUAUUGCAGUACGUCAGGUACAUGUACACCAAAUGAUGGUACAUAAACAUAUUUGUUAUCUAAAUUUAGAUAGUACGGGAUAUGUUAAAUGCACACAAGGCACAUCAAAUUGAGUACACCAUGAUCCAUGAUAAUGAAAGUUAGUAUAUCAUCUCAAUACUUAGUACCUAGUCUGGUUGUACAUCAUAGUACAUAGCAAAUACAUCAGGGUACAUGUCAAGUACAUUACAAUAGAUGGCAAUAUACGAUCAAUUUUAUGUACCUCAUGAAUUUAAGUACUCUGUCAAUACUUAUCUACACUACGAGUACAAUUAAAAGUACGAAGUACCUACUCAACCUUAGUACCUCAUCAAUUUAAGUACCUUGGCAAUACUCAUCUACACUACGAGUACAAUCACAAGUACUAAGUACCUUCUCAACCCUAGUAUACCUUCUCAACUUAGUACCUCGUCUGUAAAUACUGUGUACAUCAACUCAUAAUUGUACGUCAUGUACCAGGAAAAAAAUCACAGCACAAACAUUCAACCAAACUUAGUUCCUCAUCAUGUACAUGUACCAUGGUACACAAUACAAGCAUCGCCAGAAAUUUAACAAUUCGUUCAGAUACCUUCCUAAAGCAGCAAGAAACAAAUAAGAGUAUGGAGAUCAAACAAAUUUUAGAAGCUACCUAAAACACUAAGGUACCCCUUGCAUUUUUUUUUUCUUGCCCAUGCUCUCAAUUUAGAGACGAAACCACAAAAUCCAAAAACAAAACAAGAAGAUCUAGCCUCACUCGUGGUACCACGGAUAGAGGAUGAGUACUGGAGACAGAGAUGGAGCUUGGUCGCAAUAAUGGAAGUCGGCCGCUAGUGAGACAGUGGAGAUUAGUCUCCUUCAACUGCAGCUCCCCCGCCUUUUUCUCCACUUCUGGCUGCUCCUUGCGGCCAUGCCGGGCUGCUCCCAAGCGCUAGUGGCCGGAGAGAGAGAGGGGGAGGUAGAGAGAUGCCAAGCGCUAGUGAAUGGAGAGAGAGGGGGGAGGGAGGGAGGGAGAGAGCUAGAGCCAAGUAUGGGAGGGGAGGGAGGGAGAGAGGGUAAGAGAGAUAAAGCCUGGGCAGCACGUGGACGUUGUGGCAGAGAUAUUAGCAGAUGGGUGUCAGAGUGAUCAAGAAAAGGAAAACACACGCGUUGACUAGAGACGAUACGGGUAGAUGCCGUUAGCGGCACCGAGAGGUUUGGCGGCAAGGAGGCCGCAACCUGACAAGGCAGAUGCUUGUCGGCAUGCACAUGCACUCUGUAUCAGCACUGCACAUGCUCUUUUGCGAUCGGUGUGGUUGAGAUAUUUUGCCAAAAUACUAAACAUAGAAAUACUCUUUAUUUACAUUGUUUUCACUGUUCUAUGUCACAUAUUAUCCUAGAGUCGGUUGCUGUUUUUUUAAACAGUUUUGCUAUUCAAAAGUCGUAUGUUUUUCAGUUAGAGAAUAGGCGACAUGUUUGGCCAUCGGAUUUUAAUCCAACGAUAUCACGUGGGAGAUGGAAGAGUGAGGAUGACCAUUAGAUCUUAAUCCAAUGGCUUGACACAUCAACUGAGAUUUCAGACAUUUUGCUUAAAAAUCAGGUGACUGAAAAAUAGCUACACCCUUUUAAAAAAAGCAGCUCUUAAUAAUUCAUCAAAAUGUCGAAAGUAAACAGCCGAGUCAAACAUCAGUGCCUAUUACCCCAGCUCUUAACAUUUUCUCCGUUUGAAAUAAUUUCAUGGUCUUUUUUAUAAACUCGACAAGACAUAAUUUAUGCUCGGUCUCAGAUGACUUGGCAUUAUGAAACUAUUGACAUGCUCAAUGUGCAUGCUCUGACAACUGAUGGCGUGCGCUUGCCUGACCAACAUCAAGGACCAAAGCAAGGGAUCAUGGUAUUUUAUUUAGGACAGUAAAACUGAGCACAAUCUCAGCUCUCUCAGGCCACCUGAAUUUUCGACAGGAGGCAGGGUAUUGGAACAGACUUGCACACGGCCAGUGGUAGUCGUAGGUCCGAGUAUUUUGAGAGUGAAUUCCAGUUUUGACCCACGAGUUUGACUUUUUUGACAGCUUUGACUUCAUUUAGUGGGAUUUUUAUUUUUUGAUCCCAUUUAGCAAAACUUGUGCCACUAAUGACACCAUUUAAGAUUUUUGCCCAAAUCUCCUCCCACCCCAUUUUUUUCUUUUUCUCUCUCUCCCCAUUUUUUAUGCUUCUUGGCGUCUGUUAUACAUAGGCGGUUUAGGUUAUGUUUGGCAGCAAAGUACUCUAAAAACUAAGGUCUCGGCAAACCAUACUAUUUUAGCCUAUACAUAUAGGAUACUACAGUUGUAAGAAACUAGGGUAUUUUAAAGUAUCGAAAAAACAUUGACCUGUUUGGUGCUCUAUUUACCAUGCUAAAAAAAAUUUAGCUAGCCAAGCUGGAAGUUCAAGGAGCUGUUUGGAUCAUGCCCCAGCCAACCCUGCCAAAAUUGGCACGCUGCCACGAUCUCGCCAACACGCGGACGCAAACAGAAUGCGGUUACCAAAUGCGUGGUUCCAAUUUUCUGACGUUGAACCAAACUGAAGCCACGGUAGCGGUCAACGACCAAAUAAUUGGCAGGGCAAGUUGCGGUUGCAAUCCAAACAACCCCCAAAUCCUCUGGCCGCCAUACGGUGGCAUGCUGCAGCAGCUGCAGCUCACGGAGACAUGGCGCCAUGCUGCUCGUUGUUGAUCUUGCUUGUCCUAGCCGCGUCGAGUAGCCGGGCAAUCUCGCUCUGCAGCUCCCUGGCAGUUGCGGAGCGGCAAUGGCAAGCUGCAGCGGCAGCGUGAAAACCUCCCGCAGCCGGCAUAACAAGCUCCCGCGGCCGGCGCCGGAGCUCGGGCCAGACCGCGAGCUAGCCUGCGCAUCUUCCACAUAGCCGCCGUCGUUUGGGCAAAAAUCUUAAAUGGGUCAUUGGUGGCACAAUUUUGCUAAAUGGGGUUAAAAAACGGAAAUCUCACUAAAUGAGGUCAAAAUUAUCAAAAAAUUGAAAGUUGGGGUUCAAAGAAAUCACUCGAGUGAUUUGAGUCUUUUUCUCUGUGCUUGUUUACCAUCAUGUGCUUUCUAGCAAACCAUGUUUCUGAUAUUUCACAGCUGAAAUUUCUAGCGACAGUGUGUCCCAUUGACAAAUUCAGUUUUCUGUAUUUAGAAACAUAUAUGCGGAGAGGCUCAUCGUGUAUCCACCACCGAAUCAUUGUGUACGGUAUCAAUAGAUCCUGCUGGUUGAGCUGAUUCAGGGGUGUUUUCUUCAUCCAUGUCAGUAUCUAUCACCACACACGUGAGCAGCACGGACACACUUACACGCAAGGAUGUGUUUCUGCAUGCUUCCCAUUCCCAAACACAUGUUGCCCUCUACAUGACCGAUACACAUCGUGCUAAUUUGCAUUGCUCUUCCGAUUUUAUGUAGAGAUCCUGUAUCAUGACGAGACGAGGUAGGAGAUCAGCUUGGCUGAAUGAAUAAGUGUGGAAGAAAGCAAGCUGAUGACUCACUUUGCAAGGACAGUUCGUGCUUACUUACACCAGUCACGGAAAGUGGGUGGCUAUAUAUCCUUCCAUUUUGACCAAUUUAAGGUCACAUAUUUUAACACCAAUUUAAGAUCAACAUUUAUCUCUUUUUACUCCGUGCUCAGACCAGCGCGUUUUUUUUUCACUUGAUUUUUUUUACUUUUCAAAGCCUUCAAGAUGCUUUGUUGAUUUCCACAUUUACAAUUUUAAAUUAAAAUGCAUUCUAAAUAUAUAUAAAAUGUUCUAGCUAAAUUUAUGAAAAGUAUACCAAUAUCGGCAUAUCAAAAUAAACUAGUAGAAACCAAACCAGUUCAUUAAUGCAUUUUGAUGCCUGUGAGCCACAACAAUUCAACUAGUGCCUUAUUACAGACCAUUCAGCUAACACAUCUCAUCUGAAGUUAACUCCUCGGAAAACAAAAACAAAUAAACGCCGAAUUCGGCGAGUUGUAUUCCACCACAUGCUACCAUUCUGUUGAAUUUGUGCAUACAGAACAAUGAGCAGAUGGAGUAGCACAACGUGUUCUCUACCGUCUAUCUAGAAAUCGAACAGAGAUGAGUCGUUCAGCUGAUUGACCAGAGUUUUUUACAUCCAUGUCACUGCCUUCACGAGUAUCUCUAAGGAUGUGUUCCUGCAUGCUUCCCACUCCCAAAUGGCAAGAUGUCCAGUUGUCGGACACAAAUCGUACUAAUUUGCAUUGCACUCCGGUCUCCAGAGUGUAUAACCAUGGCAAGAUAAAGUAGCAGAUCAGCUUGGCUACUAGGAUUUGGGGGAAAUAUCUAGCGUAUGUGGUCAGGUGGCUUUAACGGGCUGAGGUGGGCAGCAAGGGCCACGCAUCCGUGCCUUGCAAGAGGCAAGGCACUGGAUCUCUGUCCCAGGUGGCUGCCCUGCCCACAUCUUCCGGAUGCGUCUCACCCACAUGUUCUUUUCUGUUGUGGUCAUCAGACGUGAACCGACGAGUAUAGCAUUCUUUGGAAGGAACGUUCGUUUGGCAGUGCAUCAGUGAUGAUCGAUGUCCUUCCCCUGCCUCCAGUUCUUUUCGUCUUCCCCUUUCCGUAGCUUAGAACCGUGUUAAAUUGGUUGAGUGUAGCGUCAGAAUAUAUGGUCCUUCAAGGUUCCACGGUUUUAUUAUGCCGGACGAAGCAAAUUCAGUUUGUUGGUUCCAUGGAGCCAAAUCAAGGCAGGAGCAGAUCGUUUUCAGUAACUCCAGAGAUCUCCACCGUCGCCGAAGUCUCCGCUUUCCCAGCAGGACGCUUCGUUGGUGUCCUGCGGCGGCUCCAUGAGCAGCCCCUCGGCGAGGUCCGCGUAGUGCAUCCCCAGGUCCAUUUCGCUCGGCAUGUCGAGCUCCAACUCCAACUCCAACAUGCCGCUCCCCAUCGCCAUGGGUGGUACUGGCAGUGGCACCUCAAACAGAACUCCAAGGAACGAUGGCCAUGCGCCGGCGGCACCAUUAUCCACAGGAACAACGGCCACAGGAACCACGGCCACAGGGAUGACGACGGACACGAUGGAGGGGGCGGCCUCCCGGCUUAGGAAGCCGGCGACGGCGACGACGGCGGCGCAGCCGAGCGCGGGCGGCGUGGCGGCGGCCGAGUCCGGGAAAUUGAGGAGGCAUGCCGCGGCGGACGGCAGGAGCGCGAGCAUGGCGGCGUCGUGGGCGCGGCCCGCGGACUCGGCGGUGAGGUGCGUGCCGAGCCAGAGGCGCUUGCCGUGCGCGCCCGGGACGCGCACCUCGCACACCCAACGGCCCGCGGCGCCGCGGUGGCGC
rnacentral:lncRNA from 1 species